rnacentral:lncRNA from 1 species
CAACAAAACCUUGAAUCUAAGUUUCCGAAAACUCGAUUCAUCCCUAAGAUGCGAGAUAUGGAUGCUGAUCGAGUCCGAAACUAUCUCGAAGAUCAAUUCCUUGGAUUUACGUCAGUGCCCCUUUCUGAUAUCGUAUCGGACGAGAGUGGGAAUUCGCCACGAGAGUUCGACUUGUCCUCGAGCGAAAUUAUGCAUUCUCAUGCGGGUUUUGUCGAAUUGUCUUUUAACUACUCUGGAAUAAUAUCUCACGAGUCUCAUUCUGUAUCGGUGGCUGAUGUGGCUCAUGAGCAAAAUGUUUCGUGUGAUCUCGAUAGGAUCGAAUUCCCCGAUCAAGAAACUGUGAAUGAAAACGAAAGAACAGUUUCGGAGCACUUGAGAUUCCCGUGUGACGAGCUUGACCCCCAGGUUCAGGGGGGUUCUUGCCCCCUAGAAAAUGACGAUAAUGACCUCAGUUUGAAAGGGGGUUCUUGCCCCCUCGGAAAUAUAAUGGCGAUAAUAACUUCAGUUCAAAAGGGGGUUUUUGCCCCCUUGAGAAUGACGAUAAUGACCUGAGUUCGAAAGGGGGUUCUUGCCCCCUCAGAAAUGGCGAUAAUAACCUCAGUUCAAAAGGGGGUUAUUUCCCCCUUGAGAAUGACGAUAAUAGCCUCCGUUCGGAAGGGGGUUCUUGCCCCCUUUCAUGUAUUGAGGUUAGUUCACUAGAAACGGGAGAUGCGGAAAAACGAGAUGAUCAUAAGGGAGGUGGUGGAGACGGGGGAGAGGGUGUUUCAGGUAUUUUGCCUCUUGUCGUUAGCGAUGAAACAAAAGAGACGGUGGUGCAAGAAGAGAUUGUGGAUAUGUACAUGAAAGGUAUGCAGCAAUUUACGGAUGCUUUGGCGAAAAUGAAGCUACCGAUGGAUACUGGAGAUGGAUCGAAAGUUGAAACGGAUGAUGCCAAAAUGGAAAAUAAUCAGGCGGGCCCGAAUGGGAAAAUACAGGGAUCGAAAAGCCCGGAUCUUAGUAGCCCGAGGGUGUUUUACGGCAGUGGAGCUUUCUUUUGAACAUGAUUUCAAGCAUAUUAUAAUGCUUGUGCUUUUUCACAUCUUUUGAUCUUUAUUUACUUUUUUGCUUUAUGUUAAAUUUGAAUUAAACAGAAUAUUACGUAAUUUGAUUUCAGAUAAAAUAAAAAACCACAUUCAUGUAAUUUCACUUCACUCCUCCACCAAUCCCAUUGAUAAUUAUUAAUAUAAUUGAAAAAUACAUAAGAUAAAUAUAUGGGUCGAGUAUAUAACUAAAUAAAUAAAUAAAUAGAUAAAAUUAACAAAUGGAGCAAAAAUUGCAUUUUUAGGAAUGAAAAGAGUAAAAAAUGGUAAAAAAAAUCCAAUCUUGAUGUUGGAAUCAACAAAUCGCAUUCAAAAGAGUGUUGGAUGGCGGUUAGCAAUUAGGAUCAGUGCUCUGUACUCUACUUUUUCCCUCCAAAAAAAUUCAAUCUUUUCACACAAGAUUCAAUUUUUAAUUUUCCUUUUUUUAUUUUCGGAAUUCAAAAUAAAAAAGCACUAUAAAUUCAAGUACAAUCCAUUUCGUCCCCACUCAACCACUCCUCCACCAAUCCCUACUCAAGUUCAACCCCACACCAAUCCCCACUAAUCAUGUCUCCUCCCUCUCCCCGCCGCUCCGGCGAGAUCCACGUCAUCGUCGGACCCAUGUUCGCCGGCAAGACCACCGCCCUCCUCCGCCGUGUUAUCUCCGAAUCCGACUCCGGCAGGUCUUUCUCCAUCCCCAAUCUCUUUUAAUUUUGACGAAAUUAGUAGGAAGAUUAUAAAUCAAAAUAAAAUGAAAAGGGUUUUUUAUUUUUGAAUUGUAGGAAAGUGGUGAUGAUAAAAUCGAGCAAGGAUAAUCGAUACGCAACGGAUGCAGUGGUGACGCAUGAUGGAACAAAGUUCCCUUGCUGGGCUUUGCCAGAUCUCUUGUCUUUUAAGCACAACUGUGGUGCCGAAGCAUAUUCCAAAGUAAUUCAUCAUAUUCCAAUUAUACCCUUGUGUGUCUUUUCAUUUUCUUUGUUACUUCGUUGCUCAAUGAUUUGUUAUGCAUUCAUUCUGUCAAGUGUUAGUUAGUGUGAAAUUGUGGACUGGUUGUCAAGAAAACUGUUGAUAUUGCCUUGAAUUGGGAAUCAAGAAAGCCGUCUCUAACGUCGUUUGGAUCGAUCGAUUCACUUGACAAUGAAAUUCAAGUCGUUAGCUAUCAGUUUGAACUGUUUUUUUAGUUACUGUGGUAGAUUUGAAUCUACUUUCUUGAAUAAAAAGUUGUUUCUGUUUUAUAGUUUUUUACGUGUUCGACUGAGUUAUAUUGAGUGCUUUUUUUUUUACUCCGGGAUCAAUUGAAAAGGAAAGGGGCAAAAAAGACUUAUAACUUUGUCAAGUUUCGAUAAAAUCGAGUAAAAGGUUUUUCAAAGCAGAGAAAUUUCACAGCUGUGGUGGUGUAGACUGAAUACAUAUAAGUGUUUGAUAUUUUCUGUAAUAAAUCCACUGAUUUUUAUUACAACUCUGUGCAGUUGGAUGUGAUUGGUAUUGACGAAGCUCAAUUCUUCGGGGACCUCUACGAUUUCUGCUGUGAGGCAGCCGAUCUCGACGGUAAAACAGUAGUAGUUGCUGGCCUCGACGGUGAUUACUUAAGGUCAGAUUUUGAGAAGUUUGUUUGUAUUCUUGAAAAAGGACAAGUCUUUUCACGUACGUACGUAGUUAUCUAUCUAUCGUUUGAAAUAGUGAACAUUGUAUUUACGAAAAAAUAAAAAAACGAACAGGAGGAGUUUCGGAUCGGUGGUGAGUGUGAUUCCACUUGCGGACACUGUAACGAAAUUGACAGCACGGUGUGAAGUAUGUGGCAAAAGGGCUUUGUUCACUCUGAGGAAGACCGACCAGACACAAACGGAGCUUAUUGGCGGUGCUGAUGUGUACAUGCCUGUUUGCCGGCAGCACUAUACGAACGGACAAGGUGGAACUGCUUCUGAAACAUCUGCUGCUGCUGUUUAGAAUGUUCUAUUUCAUUGUCUUGAUUCUCUUCUCUUCUGUUUUCUUUUUUGUAUAGUUUUAGUUUUAUUAUGUUUUGGAAUGAGUUUAAGAUGAUUAGUGUUUGAUGAACUAUUGUUAAUCAAGGCUUUAUGAUUAUUGGUUAACUGUUAAACAAAAUUCAAUAUGCAUUUAGUAUUAAUUAAUUAGCAGCUGUAUACAAUGGGAUUAAGCAGUCUCUGUAAAAAAGAAUUGAAAUAUGAACAGAGAAACAUCCAACAAAAUGUAAUCAUUUAUCACAAGGUGACAAAAUUAUAAUCAUAAUAUAUAUACCAAAUACCAAAUGAUGUAAACCAUGAUUAUUAUAAUCUUAAUCGGUUAAUUAUAUAAAUUAAUCCACCAUCAUCAUAAUCAAAAGAGGCCGGCCAUGACACUGUAUAUAUUUAUAAUAUCUAUCUGUCAUUAUAUUAAAUAUUUUUUUCUUAUUGACAAAAGAAACAAGAGUCUAUGUAAGAGACAAAUAUAUAUUUUAAUAUUCAUAUAUUUUAUAUUAUAUAUAUAUAUAUAUAUAUAUAUAUAUAUAUAUAUAUAUAUAUAUAUAUAUAUAGUUUGUAAGGUGUGAGUGACUGAGGAAACAUCUGAAAGAAAGACAAGUAUGGAGCAGAUAGUGCACAAGAACUUGAAGGUCAACGGCAUCAACAUGCACGUGGCGGAGCUUGGUCAAGGCCCGGCGGCGGUGCUCUUCCUCCACGGCUUCCCUGAGCUCUGGUACUCGUGGCGGCACCAGAUGGUCCACCUCUCCGGCAAGGGUUACCGCACUAUCGCACCAGAUCUCCGUGGCUACGGCGACACCGAUGCUCCGCCUAGCCCCACCAGCUACACGGUGCUCCACAUCGUCGGAGACCUGGUGGCGCUGCUCGACGCUCUGGGACUGGAUCAGGUUUUCCUGGUGGGCCACGACUGGGGCGCCAUCGUUGCCUGGUGGUUCUGUUUACUCAGGCCGGAUCGAAUCAAAGCUCUGGUGAACACAAGUGUGGCUUUUCAGCCAAGAAAUCCUUUCGUUAAAACCAUUCAGGGUUACAGAGAUGUUCUUGGUGAUGGCUUCUACAUGUGCAGAUUCCAGGUUUCUUUUUUUUUAUCCAAAAAAAAAUUAAAGAAAGAAAAACCCAUAGAUCUUGGGGAGAAAAAAAGAGAAUCUUGAUGUAGAAAUAGUACUAUUGACACUUGUAGAUAAGGUUGCUGUUUAUGUUGGACAUUCAUAAAAUAUUGUAUAUAUGAUUUUCAUCCCUCAAGUUUGCACCGAUUUCACAUUUGAUCCCUCAUGUUCCAGUAAUUUAACACUUUUGGUCAUCUCCGUCGUCAAUUUAUUGUUACUCCGUUAGUUAAGGCAGUGACUUGAUUCCGUUAGCUUUAACGGGAAAUUAAAGAAAAUGACUAAAAGUGUUGAAUUUUUGAAAUAUGAGGGACCAAAUGUGUGUUUUGUGAACAUGGGACCAUUUGUGAAAUCGGUGCAAACUGUACUUUUCCCGAUUUUCCCUUCUUUUUUUAAAUUAUUAAUUUUUUUUUUUUUUGGGAUAGGAAGCAGGAAAGGCAGAAGAAGCAUUUGCAAGUACAGAUACAGCAUCUGUAAUAAGAAGAUUUCUGUCGGGACGUGAUCCAAAACCACCGUGCAUUCCCACUGAACUAAGUCUAGACAUUCUUUUCAAAGCUCCUCCACCACCACUUCCCUCUUGGCUCCUCCCUGAAGAUGUUGAUUACUACGCCACUAAAUUCGACAAAUCCGGCUUCACCGGCGGUCUAAACUACUAUCGAGCCAUGGAUUUGUAACUCAUUUCAUUUAAUUACAUAUAUCAUUUAUGUAUACAUACAUACAUUGUAAGUUUUGAUGAAGUAGUUAAGUUUGUUUUGUUUGCAUAUAGGAGUUGGGAGCUGACAGGGCCUUGGACAAAAUCCGUAAUAAAAGUGCCGGUCAAGUUCUUGAUCGGUGACAUGGAUGUAACUUACCAUUUUCCGGGUGUGAAGGAAUACAUACAAAGUGGUGGCCUCAAGAAAUAUGUUCCCCUUUUAGAAGAAGUUGUGGUUAUCGAAGGUGUUGGCCACUUUCUCAACCAAGAAAUCCCCGACCUAGUCAGCCAACACAUCCUCGACUUCAUCUCCAAAUUCUGAUAUCAUUCGUAUUUCGUACCACUGAUCAUUGUUAUUUGUCUUGUCUGAAAAAUCAAGAGAAUAAUCCAUUAUUCCAAAUAAAUUUCUAUUACCACAUAUGUGGGAUAUAUAGAUGAUGAUUUUACAACUUGUUCUUGUAAGUACAAAUAAUCACGAAAUAAUAUAUAUUUGAGUUAAACGUCGUUUUCGUCUGUGUUGUUGUUGAUGACAUCAGCGAGAAAUGGGUCGUUGAGGAGAUCGGAGGCCGAGGGUCUCGAUCUGGGCUGGCCGACGCACUUUUCGAUGAAGGAUUUGAGGUCGGGGUGUGUGACUUUGUCCAUGGCACGUGGCAUCACCCCACUGGUCACCUUCUUGUAAAUCUUGACGAGGCUGUCACAUUCGGUGUAGGGUAUCUCGCAAGUGGCCAUUUCAAGUAAGCACAUACCGAAAGAGUAUAUGUCGACCAGUUCUGUGUAGUUCUCCUCGUAGAGCUCCGGGGCCAUGUACUCGGGUGUUCCUAAUAAUGAGUGGGCCGCGUGGUUCUUUCCGACCAUUGUGGCCAAUCCCAAAUCCCCGAUCUUCACCUACAAACGGGACAAAAUAAAAUUAGGAUCAUUAUGUAUUUUCUAAUUCAACUUGAAUCAUCUAGAUUAGAUGUCGCAUGAGAGAGUUAUGCAUGAAUGAAUGAACAAUGCGUUAAUCAACAAUAAGUUUACUUCAAUCCCCUAAGAAAAGCCCUUUUAUACGCAUGAAUGAACAUAAACGAAACAUCAACCAGAAGACCAAAAAAGAAAAGCAACUAAAUUUUUUACCUUGCCAAUAUUGCCAUUGAUGAAAAUAUUACUACAAUUCAAAUCUCGAUGAAUAACGCAAGGCUCGUGAGUAUGUAGAUACUCCAAUCCCCUAAGAAUCUGCACACCCCAUUUUUUCAGCGCCUGAAUCGAAACGUGCCGAUGCCUUUUCCGGUAGUCCCUCAAGUUUCCGGAAGCACAAGCCUCCGUAAUAAAAUUGAAAGUAUUAUGCUCCACAUCUUUCCAGAAAUGGUACAUAACAAUAAUGUUUUCAUUAUCAAGAGUCUUGAGAAGCUCGAUCUCGGAUCGGAGCCUAAUGAUGACCGUUGGAUCGCUGCUGAAGUUUCUGAGGCGGACUUGGUUCCAUGCCACGUCAGUGCCUUCCCGCUGAUCGAAUGCACGGUACACUUUCUUGACGGCCCCACUUCCUAAGAGGGAGGAGUAACGCCCGAAUCGGCCCGUGGGGUCCAUCUCCACAAAGGGUUCCGAUUCUUGAUCGUCGGAUUCGUCGUUUGUUGUGCUGUUUGAUGGAGGCAUUUUGAUUGUGGGUGCGAAAAUUGGCUAAAGAGGGGAAGGGAAUUGAUUAUUAUACCUGAUUAAGAUUGAGAAAAAAGGGCAAUGGAAAUCAGAACACUUGAAAUUUUGUGAGGAAUUUAUAACAUAUUUCAAAGUAGCAAUCUUUUUAUUGAAAAACCAAGAAUGGAAUAACUGAUUCACACACACACACACACACACAAAAAAAAAUCCUAGAGAAAAAUAGAGGAACUAAAGAAAGAAAACUCCAACCUGCAAGAUCCCUUUUUUAUACAAGGUUGUGAUGCUUAAACACCACCAUGAGAACAUUCAUUAAACAAAGAACAACCUUAACAAAGUAUGUAUGCUGUAAUAAACCUAUAAACAAUAAAACCAAGAUAUUGUAAUGGAAAUAAUUUACCUGCAAUUCUUCAAGAAAAGGGAAAAGGGAAGAAAGCUAAGACGAUAUUGAACAAAUGAGUUGAAAUCAAAGCAUGAAAUGAAAGAAAGGGAUACUUUGAUAUUCAGCUACCUAUAUAUACAAGUUCAUACAGUGGGUGGUUUUGUAAUUUGAUUUGAUAAGGAUUUGAACAAAGUUGUGUCCUUUACGAUUUAUUAGGUUUGGCAUAUUCAUAAUGACAGUGUAACGCCAUUAAGUAAAGUCAAACACAUAAGAUUAUAAGAAUAUGCUUUUACAAAUUACUAUUAUCGUUGACAUUCAAUUGAUUAAUGCAGAAUCACAUGUUCUUUAGUGAAAUUAAAUUACAAAGUCAAUAUAUUACAAAUACCUCUUUCAUUUUGCUUUUGAUGUAUGAAAUCCUAAUCGAUUUGGUUGAAAAGAUAGAGGGUGUUUAAAAACUUAAGUUUGAACUUAUCUUAAUUUGUUUAAGAAAAAAUAAAAACUUUGCCAUAAAUGGGUUUUUUUUAAUGUGCAACUGUUGAUUGCAGCGUGUGAAUUCAUUGAUGAACAAACUCAAAAGAUCCAACAUUUGCUGUCAUAAUGAAUGAUGUAGGAAACCCAACUAAAAAGGCAUCACGGAUCCCCAUGCACAAUCACACACUUGUUUUGUACAAAUCCCUUUUCAAUAACAGACUGUAAUUUUGAGUGGGCUCAACUGCAAUCCAUGUGAAAACAUGUUAGCUUGGAGUCAUCUCUAAAACAUGUCGAUACACUUUUUCAAAGCACCACCUGUUUCUGUGUCAAUGCAGCAAUCUAACGGACAAACUAAACAACGGAAUCGCAAGGGAUAGGCGUUUACUAGCAAAAUCCAGCAAUGCAUAGAUGAAUUUUCGACACCAAUAAAGCAACAAAUCUGUAUGGGAGGAAGAAUAUAAACGAAACCAUAAAAAAAUCGUCGUCUUCAUAAAUAAUAAUAAUACAACAAUCUUGUCAUUCUUUUGCAUCCAACUCCAAUUCAUGAAAAGUAAGUCUUAGUUGCACAACUUCCAUCCUUCAAGAAGUAUAUGACCAGAAAUACAUCCACUCAAAGAUGAAUAAGAAACAGAAAACAAACACACAAGUAAACACCCAAACAUUAGACUAUAUCAUUAUUUCAACACCCAAAUGUUCGAGAAAACAUACUGCUUUACAUUCCACAUACCAUCUCCGAUACAACAGCACGAAGAGGUAAUUCAUCUCAGAUUACCAGUUUACCAAGGUGGAUUAGAGCCCUCUCUCACAGAGGGAGAUCUUGAACCCAUGCUAUCUCUCCCCAACCUAGAUGUACUCCUCGUACUUUUAGGAGUACUUAUUCCAGGGCUCGAACUACGAUAACUUGCCCUCAAAGACUCAUCAAUAGACUGCGACGACUUAGCAAUCGCACUCCUCAUAAACUUCUGUGCAGCACUUGAAAGAACCCGCGCACUUGGGCUAGCACUCCCUCCUCUAACCGGUGAAGGCAAUGGUGGUUUCUGAAACAUCUUAGACCUCUCUCUGAUCUUCUUUGCAGCUUCUCUAGACAAAGAAUGCGCCUUUACAUCCCUUGUAGGCGGCAUAGGGAUUUUAAACUGCGGCCCAUUACCACUACCGCCAAUAUCAAUCGGUGUGUCCUCUGGCUCUAGCCUCAAAGGGGUCCCUUCGAUUUCUCCCCAUGUUAUAAACGGUGAGUCAUCCACCCCUGGAGCAGGAGAAGGUGUUUUCACAAAAUUAUAUCCAUUAUCCGCCUUCUUCUCAGACUCGACAUAGAAUCUAUUAGGCGUCUUCUUCAUGUCUUCAAGAUCAUACUUCUUCACCUUAUCACCAUCCCUAUUCGAUAUUGGAUUCGGAGUAGAACCAACAACAGGCAUGUAAAGCACUGCAAGAUUAUCGUCGUCGUUGUUCGAUGUAGUAACACCCAUUGCUUUUGCAUUGAAACGUGUAUUCGAUUUGAGGAUCUCCUUCGUCAUUCCUUUGAGCCUCAGGUUUGUUUCUUCCUCAGUCAACGGCAUCUCCCCUCUAUCAGCUGGAUGAUACAUCAAUAAGUUCUUUGGCGUGUAUUUCCACCCUUCCAAAGUACUCACUGGCUGAUUCGAUGUGCCAUAGCCGUCUGUAGAGCUGAUCUCUCGUUUACUCCCAUUCUCGAUCAAAUUAUCCCCUUCGGUUUCUCCACACUCCAACAAAUAACUAUACUUUUCCUUCUUCUUCCUAUUCACUUUCUCCAGAAUCUUCGAGAAGCUUUCGUUGUCCUCGCUCGUGUACUUCCUGAAAAACUCAUCAAGUGGCACUGAAACAUCGACUUCUUCUUCUCCAUCACCACUACCACCAACACCGACGGAUUCAUCAUUCAAAAUAUGAUCUUUAUUCAGAUUAUGGUGGGAGGGGGUAACAGAGGUAGUUCGGAAAAAAGACGAACGAGGGGUUGCAGUGGUGGAUCGGAUCGAAGCAUCAGCCGCGGCGGAGUCGCCGGCUUUCCUCAGGCGGCGGCGUUCAAUGAUUUUGAGUUGGGCAUCGCGGAUGAGAACCGGGUCGUGGGUGCGGACGGCCUGCAGCCAGUCAAGGCGAUCGCGAAGCUUGGGGAUGUCGGGGAAGUAGUCUCGCUCGAUGAUCUUCUCGAUGGCGGCGACGUAAGAAUCCUCGUCCAGAACGGUGGGGCUGCGGCGGCGCUUUCGGGUGUCGGAAUUGGGGUUAGGGUUUGAAUCGGAGGAGACGGAAGGGGCGGGGGAAGGAGUAGAGAGGUGGCGGGGGGAGUGGCCUGGGGAUAACAACAUGAUUGAUUGAUUCUGAGAGAGGAGAAAUUGAGAUGCAGACAGAGAUUUGAAGAACUAGGGUUUGGAAUUUGGGGCAAUUGGAUUUGAAUUCUGUGUUUUGAGGUUCGUUUGAGUCGACUUAUGACGGUGGGGUUGAAAAGGGAGUAUUUUAUAUUUUGCACCUUUGAAAUAGAUGUAAUUCCUAAAACGCACCCUUAAAUUAUAAAACUAGCAUAAUGCACCCUAAUUCUAUAAUUGCUGGAUUUAGCAUAUAUAUAUUAUUUAUUUACAUGAUGUUAAUAUUUUUAAAUUAUUCAACUCGCCACCUACCCUAUUGAUUUGGCUCUAUUAUGUCGGAUGGACUAAUGAGCUCGUUAUGUGGGAGAGUAGAGACAUUGUUUUAGCGAGCUUGGUACUAAGAAUUUUGUUCGAACGAGCUUCUAAAGAAACAUUGUAUUUCACAACGUUAUUCAGUUGGCAAGCCCGAUAAAUCUGUUGAGGUCCAUACUUUUGUGUUCAUAAUAUUUAAUUAAUAAGCCCAGAAACAACUGUAUAUUUUGAUUUUAAUUUUAAAACAAAAACUUGAAGCCCAAAUAGAAGAUGACAAUUGAGAAGUGGUUAGUGGAUUAGGGUUGGCUAUACUUGAAGCAAUAACACAGAGCUUAUCAAUAAUCCAACAACGGCUAUAAAUCAAAAAGCCCAUCUACAAAUUCUCUAUAAAUAAAUACCCUUUCUCAUACCCCAAUUACAAACAACCACCCACAAUUAGGGUUCUUCACAAAUCAAAUCUACAGCCGGCACUCAGAAAAACAAACAAACACAUGUAUUUUAAUUUCUUAGAUCUGUUGUUGGUAUUAUUUCAUACGCACGCGGCGAUUGAUUCACAUGAAAAAUUGAGGCGAGCUAAAUCUGUGUUCGUAUGACUCAAUUAGUGAAUUAAAAAAAAAUCGCCGCAAGAAAAAGCCUCUGUGAUAUUUCCGAAGGUAAUAAUUUGGUGGGGGCGUCCUCAUAUCCUAUCGCCUUGGGUAGCGGAUUUCUGCUAUUAUCUCUUGGGAUUGGCCAUGAGUAGUAAGACAUUUCUUUCUUCCUUCUUCUUCUUCCUUAAUUUUUUUUAAUUAAAUUAAUUAAUUAACUAAUUAAUUGUUUAAAUGAUUUUGGCGGCCUGUGAUGAGAAACACAUAUAAAACACACACACCAUCUUUCGGGACUUAAUGGCCCUCCUUAGAGGGCCUUGCUGAUUUUAUUCUGCAAUUCUGAGGCUACCUUUUUUUUUUCUAAAUUUAAAAAAGAAAAUAAAAAUUGAAAAAAAAUUGUGCUUAAUGACGGUCCAGUACUGCUGAGAUUAAUGAGCAGUACUUAACAUACUCUUAAGCUAAAGUAAUUAGUCACUUUUUGUCUUUCAAGUCUCUUUCUUCUUUAUCUAAGUUUGAGACUAUCCACGCUGUGAAACAUCUUUACUUUUUUCAUUUAUCAUUUUCUUUUUUUUUUUGUUUUUUCGACCAUUUUUAUUUUCUACCAUGCUUUUUGAUUAAAUAUGUGACACGUCUUUAAUAAAAUGGAUUGGAAAUUUCAAUUCCUCAUUAAUUCUAUUUAUAAUUAUUUUUUAAUCCAGUGUUGAAUUUACCUUAAUCUUGUUUGCAAAUUCGUUCACGUAUAAGCUGCUAGAUUAAGGUCUCAUUUAUAAUAUUAAUAGUUUAACUAGUAUAUUUUUCAGACGGCACGUUUAUUUUAUUAAAUAAAAUUAAUUAUAUAUAAUACUGGUAAUUAACAAAUUCAAUAGAAAUCUUGUAAAUUCAAUUCUACUUCAGUGACAUAAUUUCUCAAUUAUUUUUUAAUUGGUAAAAGUUACAAAUCGAAAUGAAUAUAUAAAUACCUUGAAUGCUAGAUGAGAUAAUGGGUAAUACCUUUACUUUGUUAUGUCAUAAUUGUGUAACUUAACAAAGUGUAAACUUCAAUUGUAUAAAAAAUAUUACUUUGUUAUGUCAUAAUUUUGAAAUUUAACUAUUUUGGAAUAUAAAUGUAAUCUUCUAUUAGCAAAGACUACUAUUUCUAUAAAGUGUAAACUUUAAUUGGCAAAAAUUUCACUUUCAAAAUAUUAAGUUUAACAAAUUGUAUCUUUCACUUGCGACUCGCCCGUUGUGCGGAUUUUUUUGUUCGAUUUACAAUUAUAAAUAAUCUAUAUUAUAUGGUUCCAUUAUGUAGUUUCUCAAAUUGCAAAAUAAAGAAAAAAAAAUGAGAAUAUUUUUUUUUAAUCGAGAACGGAUUGCUAAUGUCUUCCACUUAUUGAAUAGGGUUCUAUGCUCGGUCCGUGACCCCUGGAUGCCGAAGGCGCCCUUGGGGUUAUCUCGUAGUUCCUAUGGGGUGGAGAUGAUGGGUCGGUCCAUUGAUUUUCCUUCCCUUUUUUUUGCCACAUUUCGCUCAAAGGGUUGAAGGGAGAUAGUGCAUCAAGUUGUUCGCAAGGGCCAACUUGAUCCUCUUCCCUCAGGGACCCUGGGAGAGCCACCGACUCCAACUAUUGUCCAUGUAUGAUCCAUACUAGAUUUGACCAAUUGCCCAUCCUACCUCCUCCUUUGUCUUAGUAGAGUCUUUUAGUGGCAUGUUUGGUCCUCUUUCCCGUUACUUAGACAAAAGGACCCGUAAGAGCAACUGUAAUCCAAAAAAUUCAAAAUUGAAUUAUCAAAUAUUCAAUUGAAAUUUGAGAUAACAAUUUAAUAUUGAUUAAAAUUUAUCUAUUCCAACCAUGAUUAUUAAAUUAAUUAUCAAUUGGAAGUUUGUGGGUGAUUUUAUUUUUAAUUGUCACAUCUCAAUUUAUGAUUUGAUGUUUAUAUGAUUAUAUUUUUGAUAAUCAACUUUCAGCAUGUAAAUUUACACCACAAGAUAUGAUAAAUCAAAAUAGAGCUCUCUUUUAAUAAUCCAUUGGAGUUACUCUAAUAAUAUAUUACAUGUUUCCAUCAAAAAAAAAAUAUAUUACAUGUUUACUUUCAAAUAAGGAUGAAAAUUUGACUUGCACCGUUGAGUACCCGCUCCUGCCCCGAAAAUCGACCCGAAAAAAUAUGGUGCGGGCAUGGGGAUUAAUGUAAAAUUUUAAAUUGGUUACAGACUCGUACUUAUUUUGCAUUUUACUUUAAUAUAUAUUUAUCUAAAUUUUUUGAGGAUUUUAACGGGACGGGUACCCGCAUAAUGUUUACGCGGACAGGAAUAGAUAGGGAUUCCUGACAAAAAAUUUUACAGGAAUGAAAAUGGGGAUUUUGAAACAUGGCAGGGACGGAGAUUGCAAAAGCCGCCUUAUUACCAUCCCUACUUCCAAAUCUUGCUUUUGUGUGAUAAGUCAACCAAAAUGCGUAACCAUAACAAACAAAUCAUGUUCAAGGGUAAGAAAAAUGUUGACAAAGAAGAUCGGACUAAAAUUGUUAUACAACACACUCUCGUUAUUGCACCAAUUAAAAUAUAUUGUAACUAUUGGUCUAUGUUCUCAAAAUAUUUCAUUUUCUGUAACUUGUCAUUAGUUAUCGGAAUAUUAACACAAGAAAAUAAAUAAAAAAUAAAUCAGUAAAAGCUACAUCUCAUCGCAGCUUUCAUUCGAACGAAAAGAGUGCGAUAAAUGCAUUAUUAUCACAUGAUAUAUAUUACUUAAUAAUUAUUAUGUUCUUAAUAAGUUACAAAUGUAUGAUUAUUUAGUAAAAGGGUAAAUAUACCUUCUUAAAAAAAAUAUAUAUACAUGUCUGUGAAAUUUUACACUCGUAAAAUACUCAUGUGAUUUUAAAUCGUAAAUCUAUAUAAAUAAAUGAAUUGUAUAAAACUACAAGGUCUAUUUCACUUUUAUAAAAUCGUGAAACUCAAUAUUGAUUAUCUUAGAUGGAAAAGAAAAAAAAAAUACAUACAAAAAAGUUUGUAUGUAUAUGUAUAUGUAUAUGUAGGAGUUAAAGAGUUUGGUCCAACUCGCAUUCGCAGGUAAUAGGUGUGCUCCUAUUCCUAUUUACUUGGUCCAAGUCAAUUUCUUCUCCCACUUCUUCAUAUUUAUACAUACCCAGAACCUCUUUCCAUCGGCGGCACUCCUCCUCCGCUCUCCGCCGUCAUCACCGCCGCCGCCGCCUCGAAGAUGCCAAACGCUUAAUUAAUUAGGUGAUUUAUCUUUUCUUCCUUUUCUAUCUCUCUUUUCAGUUUUGUUUUUUUCUGAAUUGGAGCCCUCAAUUCCUCGGCCGAAACGAUUUCUAUUUUGUUCUUGUUACCUGCUUUAAAUUAAUUAUUAUUUCCUCCAUUUUUCUUACUAUUCCUUCCUUUUUAAUUACUGUGUUUUAAUUUCUUCAAACUGUGUUCAUUUCUCAUUUCCAAUUAUUUGCAUUUUCGACUACAUAUGUGAGUAGUUAUCUCAAUUUUGGCUAUUGACUUUGUUUAUGCCCUUUUCCUUGUUCACUGAGGCUGAGUUUAUAUUGAACUGAACUUUGUUGAGUGAUUUUUAUAUCACCAAAAUUCAGGGAGGCUAUAUAAAUAAAUAAAUAAAUAAAUAAAAGGUGAAAAAAAGGAGAAAGAAUUGUUGAGUGAUGAUAUUCGGGUAGGGAAAACCGCAAUUGAGUUCUGGUAUAUGUAGAUUGUGUGUUUUGUUAACUGUUCUAGGUCAAAUUUAGUAGUUGUGUGUGCUCUAAUUACUCUUUACUCAUAUAGCUGUAGUAUUAUUUGGGAUUCGGAUUUUAUUAGGAAAUGUUAUGCUAUGUGUACAACCUAUGGUAAUGGGGAUUAUCAUACGUUUUGCUCUUUAUUUGGUCGUGUUCUAGAUUUAGAAGGUAUGCUUUUGCUAAACCAUUUGUCGUAUUCUUUUAGUGUUUUAUCUUCUUGUGUUUGGGAAAUAAAUUGUUACGACAACCAACAUUAAGACAGCUGGUAGCUAAUACAAUUUGGAAUUCUAAAACCUCAACUAUGUUGACAAGCGAUGAUCCUCACACACACAAACACACACAUUUAUAUCCGCAUAUGUUGAAGAUGGAUAUUUAUAAUGCGUUUUCUCGUUUCUGGGCUGUUGGAUACAUAUAUGUUUUUCUUGUCCUUCAAAGAAUUUUUUAUUAACCUGUCUCUCACUUUUGAGUGAUGUUCAACUCUUUGAUACUUAUAUUUCUGUUUACUCAAGUUAUUACCAUGCCUCUGUUCUUCCUUGGAUAUCAAGUUGCUUCUGCUUCAUCGUUUUUAACAAGGUCCAGAGAUUAUUAUGAUGCUUUAUGAAGAAUUGACUAUGCCCAUUGUUACUGUUUUGACUGAUACAAUGGAAUACAUGUUGGUUUGCAGUUUCCUAAAACAAUUGCAGCAGAAAAUAGGAUUUUUUACGAGGAUUCAUCAGCUGAACUGCUGAAGAAAAACAUUCACUAUAUAGUGGCAUGCAGCAAAACAUCAACUUGCAGUUAACGAAGAAGAAAACUGAGCAAAAGAAUGCCUGAGAAAGAACCAAGUAAUAUAUCACCGAAACAGAAUCCCGACACUGGUAACAAUGCAUCACAAGAAUCACAUGAAGACAAGUCUUGUGUUUUGGUGCAGACAGAAACCUCUGAUUCUAGAAACAAUGUUUCACAAUCCCAUGAAGAAGAAGAAAGAACUUUGUCUAGUAAGAACGAAAACGAUUCCGAUAUGCUGCUGCAAGAACCAAGUUCAAAUCCCGUAGUCCUUUCACAAGAAAUGAAUCCAGCACUAGCCUCUCAUCUUCCGAUCGAUGAUAACCUUUGGAAAAGUGCAGCAGAUUAGGACUUGGACAUUGUAGUUCAUACGUCAGAGUCUGACAAAGGAUAAUGGUCUCUAGUGUAUCCCAAGAUUUCCCUAAACCACAAAAAUGGNNNNNNNNNNNNNNNNNNNNNNNNNNNNNNNNNNNNNNNNNNNNNNNNNNNNNNNNNNNNNNNNNNNNNNNNNNNNNNNNNNNNNNNNNNNNNNNNNNNNAACUGCCAGGCGAAAAAGCAGGUCGAGAGAUCGCACGACGGGUGUAAAACAGACAUCAAUUAUCUUGGAACUCAUCAUCAUCAAAAACCGCAACAUAGUUCCCAAGUAACUCCCGUCUUUCAAGUACAAGAAACACCCAUCGUAUCUGCAAUAAAAGGUAAGUUUUAACAUAGCUUAGUUCCUAAAUAUUGACUUGUUUUUUUUCUCUAAAUGUUCAAAGGGUUAUUAUUGACUUUCGUUUGACCUUUUUAGCGGAUGCUGAGCCAAUCAUUGACCAUGGAGGUGCAAAUCUACAAAUGGUGCCGUUUGGGACAUCCCAUCAAUCGAUUGUUCCAAGAAGUGCUGAUGAUGUGAUUGUAGCAGUUCCUUGUUCAACUAAUGAUGAUAAUAAUAACUAUAAUAAAGAGGAUUAUUCAGACACUAAACGACAGUAUGCUCUAUACCUCGUAUUGCAUUCAUACCUCUAUGCUUAACUGUUAUUUGUUAAUCGAGUGAUGAUUUUUUGCCAAACAGGAGAAGAGAAAUAAUAUCUGGAGAUGAGAAUGUGGUGAGUAAACCUCAUAGCGAGUUACGGCAUGUUGUUCAAACUCUGAGUGGGGUUGAUGUUAUUAAUGAUGGAUACCGCUGGCGUAAAUAUGGGCAGAAGUUGGUGAAGGGCAAUCCAAAUCCUCGGUAACUAAAAUUUUAAUUUACUUCUGCAGCAUCUUUUUUUUUUUUUUUUUUUUUUUAUGUGCUGCAUUUUACUGAAUAAAAAUACGAAACUGUUUAUCAGCUUCCUAGAAACUUUUUCGGGUCGUAGGAUUUUACAUGUAAAAGAGAAACCUAAUCUCAGUUGUGUAUAUGUUGUGUAGGAGUUACUACAGGUGUUCAAAUGCUGGUUGCCCAGUCAAGAAACACGUAGAAAGAGCCUCCCAUGAUUCAAGGCUAGUUAUUACAACAUACGAAGGACAACACGAACAUGAAAUGCCACUACCUAGGCCGCCUGUAAACCAAAGUACACCAAGAAAUGAUGCUAAUACGAUCACCGCAAAUGGAGAAUCGAGACCCAAGCCCGAAGAGAACAAUCCCGUUUCACUUGAAAUGGUUGUUCAUCUUACUGCCAACUGAGAAAGCAAAUUCCUACUGCAGGCCUUUUUUCCAAUGCUAUCGUUCGAGUUAAAUAAUUUUAUAAUCAUAUAAUAACAUUUUCUUCUUUAUUCAUUUUAUCAUUGUACUUUGGAGUUAGUAGGGAUUCUUGAUCUUAAAUGAGGGAUUAUGUUUACUGUAAUCGCUAGUUCGACUCUUGUUUAAUUCGUCGCGGGCAGUGGAAUAACUUGUAGUAGUUGUAUGAUUGACUCAUUUGUCUUGAGAGAUUAAAAAUGUAUUGUAGAUUUGAUCUGAGUUGUAUAUAUUCUUCUUCUGAGGCAAGACUACAAGAUAUUUUGACAAUUUCCAUUUUUGUCCUUGAUGCAUGAUGGAUUCACAUCUGUAUAUUUAUUACAAUUAACAAAAUGUCAUAAUGUAAAGACAACAACAUCAUAGUACAAACAAAAUGCAGGUGCUGUCAUUUCCAGGCAGAAGCAGCCACCAAAUCUCUGUUCAACCAGCCAAGAUAAAGUGCACCAUCUCUCUCUUCAACACUAAAUCUAUUACACCAACUCUCCAUCAACUUCUUGAUUGUACCAUUCACCAAAGAACUCAAUGGAAAUUGUCUGAAACCAGCCAUUUUAAACCUCGAUUUCCACUUCCCAAGCGUCUCGUGCCUCUCCACUCUCUCUCCUCCCUCACAUGCAAUUACGUUCACUACGUCUCUUGCCAAACAGUGCUGCUCCAUGUUUAUCCUCUCCUUGUCCUCCCUCGACACCGUCACAUCGAUCGACUCGAACAUCGCUGUGUAGUAAUCCAAUGUUUCAAGAAACCUUGGAUAGAACGCAGCCGUGUUUGUAUUCAAUUCUUGCUCCACUAAAGUCACCACUUUCGGAUUAAGUCUUUUCACCAUCCUCAAAACGGUACUUACACUUUCAUCGGGCGUGCGGUGCAAGACGAAUGCAAAAUUCACCGCAAGUGCUUCUUUUUGGCCCGAUUGAGUGACUAGGUUUUCGAGGUGGGCUCCACUAGAGGAAUUGAACUCGAAAGGGACUUUGAAGCUCUUGGCCAGCUUCGAUAGCCUCCGCCCCACGAUGUUCGAUCCACUGCCACGUGGCGCAUAUGCUGAUGUGGCAUCAUCGAUGCCCGUUAUCCGAAUACGGGGCGGCCCGCCGGGUCGGGCGGCGAAGGCCUGAAUCAGAGGGACCCACUGGCUCCCUUGGCCUAUUUGGAAAUCGAUUAUAUGAACCCUCUCUUCAUCCUUCAUCGCUUCUGCAAUAGCACCGUUUGCUGACAUGUAUCCGUAUUUGAAAUAAGGGCACGCUUCGUGGAGCAAUUGCGUAUACGAUAGAAGCUGGCGAUUCACGGGCUCCCGGGAUUUGUAUAAGAACCUUCCGGAAGAACUCACCCUAGCAACGAGCCCUUCGAGCAUGUAUGCUCCUAAACGCUGUAACGGCUCGCCGGAAACCGACACCAGCUGGCGUAAUUCAGACAUCAACCUUUGUGACGUUGGCACGUCAUCGUUCGAAACGGCCUUUGCGCACGCAAUAAGCACCUGCUUUAAGUGGUCCCCUCUCGGCGUGGGCUCCACAAUCUGUCGCCAGCUGUCAAUCUCGGCCGAGGCCAAAAGGGUAUUCUCGUAAUUUUCAAGAAAGUCAAGAUCCGGCCCGAACAUUACAUUCUCGAGUUCUCUCAGCUUGUGCUUCAGUUCGUUUGCAUCUUCUUGGUGGGAUAAUGAGCUCUCGUUGUUGGGUGAGAAAGUGACGCUCGAAGGUGAGUUGUAACAAGUUUCGAUUAGCAAAGAUGACUCUAGUGUACAAAAUCGAUCUUGAAAAUUGUGGCUCGAGUUUUGGGGGUUUAAAUUAUGACACUGUUGAGGUGAGUAGGAUUCGAAUUUUAGGACGGGUUGACAGCAAAGCGUGUUAGGCAUUCUCGAUCGGCUAUGAUGUCCAGAUGCUUGCAUCGAAAAACAGGAGUUUUGGAAUCCCUUUUACAGCUGGAAAAUCAAGAAAAAAAAUCAGAUUAAGAGAGUGUAUGAAUAUAGAAUAUCAUAACAACUCUUCUACUACGAAAAGGGUCAUAAUUUCAUCGAAACAUCGAAAAGUUAGAUUAGAAAGUCAAACACAAUAGGGUCAAAUGACUUGAAUUGUCUUGCCAACGAACACGAAAUCAGACGAGUUGACUCGGGUCAAAGCACGAAAUUGGACGUUCUUAGUCCAUUCUUUGCAGGAAUAUAACACAAAAAGCUCAAAGAUUUCUCCAAGUCUCCUUGUCCCAUAACGCAAGAACUCUAAAAUAAUAGCAAAUGAAACACAACUAAAUGCAUAUAAAACACGAAUUAUCCUUUGAUAUUCGGACAAAACCAAGAAAAACAAAAAUCAUCCAAAAUGUAGUCCUAAAACUAGAAUUAGACAACUUUUUAGUAGUAGCUCUAGCAAGUAAUUUACAGACUUAAAGAAAAAGGGUACAAAAAAAAGAUACAAAGAUUUAAUCUUUACGAUAAUUUAACUUAUUAACAUCCACCCUUUAAUUCUUUUUUGCUUUUGAAUUUAUUUACUGAAACUCUAAGAAAACCCACACAUUAAUAAUUGACAAGAAGUUAAAAAAAAAAAAACAAGAAAUAGUAAUAAUCAAGAUGAAAGAGAGAAAGUAAACCUUAAAAGUUGAAGAAUCACAGGUUCAUCAGUUGUCUGUAUGUGUACUGUAAUUUAAGUUAACACCACCAAGAAAGAAAGAAACAGUGUGUGUUGUGUUUUCUAGAGAGAGAAAUAUUGAGAGAAACAGAGAGAGGUUUGUUCUUCGGUGUCCGUGAUAGCAAGUCAGUCACCCAGUAAUGUAAAUUGUUUUUCUUUAUUAUAAAUCAAUGAAGUGAAUCAUUACCCUUGGAGUUGAGAUAUAUUCACGUUACUGCCACUCUGAAUCAGUGAAGCUUAAUGAUUAUUAUACUUUAAUUAAGAUUAAUGAUUAGUUAGAUAAUUAGAUUAGAUUACAAAGGCAAAAAUAUCAAGAUGACGUAGGAAGAACUGCCUUCCACUCCACCACUCAACUCCCACUCUCAAUUAUCAUCAAUUAUCAAUUACAUCAUUUAAUGCUUAUCUUUCACUUUCUCUCAACUACUAAUAAACUAUUAAUUAUUCUCUAAUUAAUAUUCCUAUCUCUAUUCUCCACCCUCCAUUUAUACUAAUAAAACAACAAUCCACGACGUUUCGGAGUUUCAAAUAAUACAUGUUUUUUUUUUUAUCAUUAUUAUUAUAUACUAUGCAAAAAAAAAAAAAAAUGAAUACAUAUAAAUAAAAAAUAUCCCCAAAAGAAUUGUGAUGGGAUCACAAAGCCCAGAGAUUUGAGGAAAAGAGAAUUUUGUCUCCUAUUUUACUCAUAAUGGUGUCCCACAAUCUUAUUGUAGAUAAAUAAAUUUUAUCCAAAAGAAAGGGACCAUUGUGCAAUUACGAAACAAGGAAUUCUAUUUAAAUUCUAUGGCCCAUGGCAAUUCCGUAAUUAAAUAUUUAAAUUCAAAUCAAAUCAAGAUUAUGUGCCGUAUAUUGGUAUCUAUAUUUAAAUAUCAAUUACAUAUUUUCUAUUUUAAAUCUAGGGAUUUAAUUAAAUUAAUUCCUAAAUUAAAUAGAUAAUUGAUUUUAAAUAUAUAUUUACCAGUAGAAUUAUUUAUUCUCUUCCAAAUUAUAAGGGAUAAAUAUCAAUUAAUUAUUGGCCAAUAGAAUUGUUUCUUCUCUUCCAAGUUACAAGAGAUAAAUAUCAAUUUAAAUCGGGCCAAUCAAAUCGCGCCACAUCAUCAGUAAGGCCCAUCAAGGACUCUUAUUCUACCACUAUAAAUAGGAAUCCUCCCUCCACAAUUAAAAACACAACUGAAGGAGCAGAAAUCGUAGGAGCAAAAUUCUCUCUACAAUUCAAGAAGCAAGGAAGAAGAAUUCGUAGGAGGUAAGAUUCUCUCUCUACAUUCAAAGUGUUCUUCGUCAUAUUCGAGGUGUUCUUGAGCAAAUUCAAGGCGUUCUUCGUCAAAUCUAGCGUUCGAUCCGAGAUAACGGUGCCAAACCUUCGGAUUAACGUUAAUCAAUUCAAGUCAAGAUCACUGGAAGAUUGAAGGGCCAAAUCCAUCAAGAAUUUCAAGAUCUUCAAGUCAACGCCCGUCAAAGUUCAACAAAUCAAGAUCGAAGGAAGAUUGAGGGGCCAAAUCCAUCAAGAACUUCAAAAUCUUCAAGUCAAAUCAAGUCAAAGUUCAACGUUCGAUCCGAGAUUCAAGUCGCAAGACCCUCGGAAGACGUUAUUCAAAUCCAAAUCAAAUCCGGAGAAGAUCAAAUCAACGACUCGUCUCCGAAAUUCAAAGUCAAUCAUAUAUUUUUCUUGAGAGAAUAAUCAGAGGAUUAAAAUAGAGAUUGUAGCCCGCAAUUUAUUUAUUUUAAUUCAAUAAAAUCAUCUUUGUUCAAUUUUUCUUGUUUGUUUAUAUCGCAGAUAAGAAUUUGUUGUUACAAAUUUUGGCACGCCCAGUGGGACACCUCUACCUCUCAUCUCUUCUCUCUCUCGAAGAUCCUAGUAGUUGUUCUACGUUCACGAUGAAGGCUGCUACUUCAAAUUCAUCAAGCAUGGGCGUAGUUACAAGGAGUAUGGCUAAGAAGCUGCAGACAUCCUCCGAGACUAGCUCAACGCCCCAAAUCAUCGAAAAAGGCUCGUCACCUCUCGUCAACACAGGUGGAGGCGUGGAAGGAUCUAGAGGAGAAGCUUCGUCAUCCACGUCCCUUUCAGCAUCAAACUACUCUGAGGUGGCUCCCGUCAUGACGACACAUGCUACGACCAUGGAAGAGCAGAUGGCGAUCUUGACCAAGGCCAUUGAAGGGUUAACAAAGCACAUUCAAGAACAAGACUCCCAAAUUGCGAUGUUGCGGGACAAGGUUGACGGUAGUCACGACAUGGGAAAACAAGGCGAAAAUCACACCGAAGCUGAAACUUCUGCAAGGCGACAUCCAAUCCAAAGGGAGAAGAGCCCGGCUGAAGAAUUCCAGGUUUCGUCAGAGGGGUUGAUUCCUAUAGACCAAUUGAAAGAGUUCAUCAUGGGGACUAUCAAAGACAAAUUCAAUGAGGGUUCAAAAUCGUCGUCAACAUACACCAAGCCAUACACUCUAAGAGUAGACGACUUGAAGAUGCCAAUUGGUUACCAACCCCCGAAGUUUCAGCAAUUUGAUGGCAAGGGCAACCCAAAACAGCAUGUGGCACAUUUUGUUGAAACUUGCAACAAUGCUGGGACUUUUGGAGACUACCUCGUGAAACAAUUUGUUCGAUCAUUGAAGGGGAAUGCUUUUGAUUGGUAUACGGACCUAGAGCCGAACUCAAUUGACAGUUGGAGUCAAAUGGAGCAAGAAUUUUUGAAUCGCUUCUACAGCACCCGAAGAACAGUGAGCAUGAUCGAGCUCACAAACUCUCGCCAGUGGAAAGAAGAGGCCGUCAUUGACUAUAUUAAUCGCUGGAGGAAUUUAAGCCUGAAUUGCAAGGACCGAUUGUCAGAGGCCUCAGCUAUCGAGAUGUGCAUUCAAGGAAUGCAAUGGGGACUCCGAUAUAUCCUGCAAGGGAUUCAACCUAAGAGUUUUGAAGAGUUGGCCACUAGAGCGCACGACAUGGAGUUGAGCAUUAUGGCUAGUGGAGUUGAGGGACCACCAGUUCAAGAGCCUCGACAGUCGAAAGAAAAACAGGAUUUUCGGAAGGUGGGUAGAGUUUUCUCUAAGACCUCAAGCAAAGAAUCUUUGGCAGUGAAUGCGACCCCUAUCAAAUUUCAAGGAAAAGUGAACGGAAACAAUGAGGAAAAACAAGAUUUUUCCCAAGAAAGAAGAAGACUUACUCUAAAAGAAAUGCAAGCAAGGGAAUAUCCAUUCCUCGACACUGAUGUGGCUGGAAUAUUUGACGAUUUGCUAAGUUUAAAACUUAUCGAAUUGCCUGAAAUGAAGCGCCCCGAAGAAGCUAACAAAACCGAUGACCCAAAAUACUGCAAGUAUCAUCGGUUGGUCGGGCACCCAAUUCAUGAUUGCUUCGUAUUCAAAGACAAAAUCAUGCAGCUAGCUCGCCAAGGAAAGAUAUCACUUGAAGAGAUCAGCGCCAAUACAAAUUUUAUCGUCAGCAGUUUUGAGUCCCUUGGCAUGACGACAACCAACGUGCACGAAGGAGAUGAUGAUCAUAUUAACAUCUCAUGCAACACGAUAAUUGAAAAGGAGAUCGCUGCUAGUGGAACAACUCCGUCUUCAAAUGAAGUUUGUACCGUGAUUGGUAAAUGCAUGUCAACAAUGACUUUCGCUGAUGAAGAUUUGCUUCUUGGUUCCAAACCACACAAUAGGCCAUUGUUUGUUGCCGGCUACGCUCGUGAGCAGAAGGUGAAUAGAAUUUUAAUCGAUGGAGGUUCUGCAGUCAAUAUUUUGCCGUUGCACACUUUAAAGGAAUUGGGGAUCUCCACAGAGGAGCUCAAAACUAGUCGCUUGAUGAUCCAAGGAUUUAAUCAAGAAGGACAAAGGGCCCUUGGUAUCAUAAGGAUAGAGUUGUUAAUGGAUGAUAUGUUGUCCACCGCACUGUUCCAUGUCAUUAAUGCAAGAACCUCAUAUCGCAUGCUUCUCGGGCGACCUUGGAUACAUGAGAAUAGUGUGGUUCCUUCUUCUUGGCACCAAUGUUUCAAGUAUUGUCGAGACGGAGUAGUUAAAACGAUACUCGCCGAUGAUAAACCGUUCACCGAGGCAGAAGCUCACUUUGCCGAUGCUAAGUACUAUCUUGAUGAUGAGAAGACGGUGAAAGCCAAAGAAAUUCUACCAGUCGAAGAACCAAAGCGAAGAAAUAAUCAAGACACGGAUCCUUUAGCGUGUGAGGCUUUGAAAGAUUUGAUGUUUCCCCUAACACCAAUUGACGAGAAGCGAUCAACUUCUCAACCACCUAAAGGAUUUGUUCAUUCCACAGAAGAAACCCAAGAGGAAUGCGAAGAAUUCUCCGAGUCCCAAAUGACAAAAUGCUUUGGCCCAAAUGCUUAUAAACUCUUAGUGAAAGCUGGUUUCAACCCACAUGAAGAUUCUACGCUUGGAAGGCUUCCUGCCGAAGUUGUUGGCGAAAAGGUGCAUGGCCUCAAUACUACUCAAAUAAUGUUGAAAGAAAAAGGACAUGCUAUUCAAAGUCCUCGAGUUGGUCUUGGAUUUGUGCCACAAAAACCAAUUCGUAUUGCUAUCAAUAGAGCUACCAGUAAUUACAUAAUCGAAGAUGAAUUCUCAUCUACAAACGAUUUUCUUGAAAGUGGAGCAAAAGUGAGAAGGACAUCCGUCUUUGAUAGGCUUACACCAUCUGUCUUCGAUAGACUUGCGCCAUCCGUCUUUGAUAGACUUGGACCACUUAGAGAGUGGGGGCAUGGAAAAGGUGACAAACGAGGGUUGGAUAGACUUACGCCAUCCGUCUUCCAUAGGCUUGGACCACUUAGAAAGUGGGGGCAUAACAGAAGCAACAAGCAAGAUUUGGGUGUCUCUAAUACUAAAAUCACAAAAACACGAAGGAUUCGAAGUUCAAUUCCAUCUCGCAUGAAACGGCGUACUUAUUUGACCAUAUCAUGUGGUAAAGAGUUGAAGGCUAAAAUGCGAACUGUCGUCUUUACAAAAAUCCAAGAUGACGAGGAAGAUGACAGAGAAAGUGUGGCAUCAUCGUAUCAUAUCACUUUAAGUGAAAUAGACGUGAUUGAGGAAGAAGACGCUGAAACUGCCCCACCCGAGCUUGAAGAAGGAGUCAAAGCCACCAUCGAUGAGUUAAAGGAAAUUAAUUUAGGAGAUGCGGAGAAUCCUCGACCAAUCUACAUUAGCGCUUUACUGGCCGUCAACGAAGAGGAGACUUAUAUUGAAUUGUUGCACGAGUUCAAGGAUGUGUUUGCAUGGUCUUAUAAAGAAAUGCCCGGAUUGGACCCAAAAGUGGCAAUACAUCAUCUCUCCGUGAAGAAAGGAGCUCGCCCUGUGAAACAAGGCCAACGUAGAUUUAGGCCUGAAUUAGUCCCUGCAAUUGAGGCUGAAGUGAACAAACUUAUUGAGGUUGGUUUCAUUCGAGAAGUCAAGUACCCAACAUGGAUUUCAAGUAUCGUCCCUGUUAGAAAGAAGAAUGGACAAAUUCGUGUGUGUGUUGACUUUAGAGAUUUGAACGAAGCAUGCCCUAAGGACGACUUUCCAAUGCCAAUAGCCGAACUAAUGAUCGAUGCUACUACAGGCCACGAAGCAUUAUCAUUUAUGGAUGGGUCGUCCGGAUACAAUCAAAUACGAAUGGCGCCGAAAGACGAAGAAUUAACAGCCUUUCGCACACCUAAGGGCAUUUAUUGCUAUAAAGUGAUGCCAUUUGGCUUGAAAAAUGCCGGUGCUACAUACCAAAGAGCCAUGCAGAAGAUAUUUGAUGACAUGCUCCAUAGAGAUGUUGAAUGUUAUGUGGAUGACUUGGUGGUUAAAUCCAAAAGAAGGGAAGAUCAUCUCCAAAAUUUGAGAAAAGUCUUCGAGCGCUUGAGAAGGUACCAAUUGAAGAUGAAUCCAUUGAAAUGUGCAUUUGGUGUUACUUCGGGGAAGUUUCUUGGAUUCGUAGUUCGUCACCGAGGCAUAGAAAUCGAACAAGCCAAGAUUGAUGCAAUUUUAAAGAUUCGCGAGCCUAGGAACAUUCAUGAACUCAAAAGUUUGCAAGGAAAGUUGGCAUACCUAAGAAGGUUCAUUUCAAACUUAGCCGGUCGAUGUCAACCAUUCAGCCGACUCAUGAAGAAAAAUGUUCCCUUUGAAUGGGAUGAAGCUUGCACUAGUGCCUUUGAAAGUAUAAAAUCAUAUUUAACGAAGCCUCCUGUGUUGAUUGCACCAGUGCCCGGACGAUCGUUAAUACUCUAUAUUGCUGCUCAAGAACGAUCUGUCGGAGCUUUACUAGCCCAGGAGAAUGAUGAUGGAAAAGAGAGUGCCUUAUACUACUUGAGUAGAACAAUGACACCAAAUGAAUUGAACUACUCGCCAAUCGAAAAGACAUGCUUAGCGCUCAUUUUUGCAAUUCAAAAGUUGAAGCAUUAUUUUCAAGCACAUGUUGUCCGUCUGAUCUCAAGGAUGAAUCCUCUAAAGUAUGUCAUGUCAAAACCCGUCCUAUCUGACAGACUCGCAAGGUGGUACCUACAAUUGCAGCAAUUUGACAUAACAUAUAUUCCACAAAAGGCUGUGAAAGGACAAGUUCUAGCCGAUUUCUUGGCAGAUCACCCUAUCCCUGCAGAGUGGGAGUUAUCCGAUGAUCUACCCGAUGAAGAUGUUCUUGUGAUUGAAGCUAGUCCUCCUUGGAAGAUGUAUUUUGAUGGAGCUUCUCACAGAGAAGGAGCGGGCGCCGGAGUAGUAUUCGUCACAUCCAACGGCGAAGUGUUGCCUCACUCUUUUACCUUAACACAAAAUUGCUCUAACAAUGUUGCUGAAUAUCAAGCUCUUAUCCUUGGGCUAGAAAUGGCAGUUGAUAUAAAGCGACUAAAUUUGGAGGUAUAUGGAGACUCCAAGUUGGUGAUCAAUCAGAUACUCGGAUCGUACGAAGUAAAGAAGCUCGAUUUACUCCCUUAUGUGGAUUAUGCUAAAAGACUUAUCGGAUACCUUGGUGAUGUGACGAUAGAGCAUGUGCCAAGAAAGGAUAACAAACAAGCAGAUGCAUUGGCAAAACUUGCUUCUACUUUAGCCAUGCCCGAAGACGGAGCUCGUAUAUCAAUUUUCAAGAGGUGGGUCGUACCACCAAUUUUUGAACACGAAGAAAUUGAAGAAGACGAAACUCGAGUGGUUUACGUGUUUGAAAUCGAGAAAGAAGAUUGGCGUCAAUCGUUUGUGGAUUACUUGAAGUACGAAAAGUUGCCUAAUGAUCCACGUCAAAGGGUUGAUAUUCGACGUCGUGCGGCUCGUUUCAUCUACUAUAAAGAUACACUUUAUAGACGUUCAUUUGAUGGAGUCUUCUUGAGAUGUUUAGGUGAUGACGAAGCCAUUCAAGCCAUAGAAGAAGCUCAUUCCGGAGUUUGCGGCGCCCAUCAGUCAGGACCCAAGCUACAUUUCCGAAUAAAAAGAAUGGGCUAUUAUUGGCCAUCUAUGGUGAAGGACUGCAUGGAGUAUGCCCAAAAAUGCCAACCUUGUCAAUUUCAUGCAAACUUUAUUCAUCAACCGCCGGAGCCAUUGCACCCUACUGUUGCCUCAUGGCCCUUUGAUGCUUGGGGUUUGGAUGUGGUUGGACCUAUGACAAAAGUCUUCAGCUGNNNNNNNNNNNNNNNNNNNNNNNNNNNNNNNNNNNNNNNNNNNNNNNNNNNNNNNNNNNNNNNNNNNNNNNNNNNNNNNNNNNNNNNNNNNNNNNNNNNNNNNNNNNNNNNNNNNNNNNNNNNNNNNNNNNNNNNNNNNNNNNNNNNNNNNNNNNNNNNNNNNNNNNNNNNNNNNNNNNNNNAAAAUUUGUGAAAGUUUGGCUUCAAGCAAAGAAAGUCUUCAAUGUACAACGCAGCCGCCAAUGGACUCGCCGAGGCCUUCAACAAGACUUUAUGUAAUUUGCUGAAGAAAGUGAUCGCCAAGUCAAAACGUGAUUGGCACGAGAAGAUGGGAGAAGCUUUAUGGGCUUAUAGAACAACGUAUAGAACACCUACUCAAGCCACUCCAUAUGCUUUGGUGUACGGUGUGGAAGCAGUCUUGCCUCUUGAAAAACAAAUUCCAUCAUUGAGGAUAGCUAUACAAGAAGAACUCACUCAAGAAGAAAAUGCCCGUUUGCGUCUUGCAGAAUUGGAAGCUCUUGACGAGAAAAGAUUAGAGGCACAACAAAGUAUUGAAUGCUACCAAGCUCGUCUUUCUAGGGCGUUUAAUAAGAAGGUGCGGCCAAGAUCGUUUCAAGUUGGAGAUUUGGUACUUGCCGUAAGGAGGCCCAUCAUCGUCACUCACAAAACUAGGAAUAAAUUUACUUCAAAGUGGGAUGGUCCUUAUGUCGUCAAAGAAGCAUACACAAAUGGAGCGUACAAGUUGGUUGCCGAAGAUGGUUUAAGAAUUGGUCCGAUAAAUGGAAAGUUCUUGAAGCGGUACUAUGCAUGAAGCGGAGGAGAAGGCUCCUGGCCCGCAUGAGUUGAAACUGUGCACGGCUAAAAAAAAAAAAAAAAAAAAAAAAAAAAAAAAAAAAAAAAAUCUAUCUUUUUUCUUUGAACUACGUUAUGACUUGAUCCCACUCGGGGUACGUAGGCAGCUUAAAUAUUCUCUAAGUUCAGUCCUUUCCUAAAAAAAAAAAAAAAAAAAAUCUAUCUUUGUUUUCUUUGAACUACGUUAUGACUUGAUCCCACUCGGGGUACGUAGGCAGCUUAGAUAUUCUCUAAGUUCAGUCCUUUCCUAAAAAAAAAUCUAUCUUUUUUCCUUUGAACUACGUUAUGACUUGACCCCAUUCGGGGUACGUAGGCAGCUUAGAUAUUCUCUAAGUUCAGUCCUUUCCUAAAAAAAAAAAAAAAAAAAAAAAAAAAAAAAAAAAAAAAAAAAAAAUCUAUCUUUGUUUUCUUUGAACUACGUUAUGACUUGAUCCCACUCGGGGUACGUAGGCAGCUUAAAUAUUCUCUAAGUUCAGUCCUUUCCUAAAAAAAAAAAAAAUCUAUUUGUUUUCUUUGAACUACGUUAUGACUUGAUCCCACUCGGGGUACGUAGGCAGCUUAAAUAUUCUCUAAGUUCAGUCCUUUCCUAAAAAAAAAAAUCUAUUUUUUUUCCUUUGAACUACGUUAUGACUUGAUCCCAUUCGGGGUACGUAGGCAGCUUAAAUAUUCUCUAAGUUCAGUCCUUUCCUAAAAAAAAAAAAAAAAAAAAAAAAAAAAAAAAAAAAAAAGAAUCUUUAAAAAAAAUAGGGGGACCACAAGGGAAAAGGAAAAUUUUUUUUUUUUCAGGAAUCAAAAAGGGGAAAUAACCAUUAAAAAAACCAAAAAUUAAAAAAAUAAAAAAAAAAUCAUCUAAAUCUAGCUCAAGCAAAAGGGUCUAAAUCCGUCCAACUUUUCUUUGGGCAUCUUCUAGAAGCUCGGCAGAAGCGCGCAAUUCGUCUACCAAAUCAUCACUUAAAGGGGAUGUAUUUUCAUGGCAGCAAUCUCUUCAUUAAUCUCACGAAUUUCUAUUUUAACAGUAUCAAGGAGUUCUCGUUGUUGUUUUAAUGAUGAUCUCAACUGUCCCACCCUCAGCUUCAAAGUAGCACGCUCUUUCUUAACACUCUCCAAAUCAUUAUUGGUGGCUUGAAAUUGAAGAGUCUCUUUGUGUUCUCUAGCUUGAGUAUUAUGCAAACGAUCUUUAGCCCCAUCUAAUUGUCGUGCUAGAAUCUCUUUAGAUGCCUUCUCAGUGUUCGACGACCUCACCUUAUCAUAAGCCGUCGCCUGGGAAAAUAAUGACUUCAAUAAUUCUUCUAUGCAAGAUAUGUCGAAAUCACCAAGAUCCCGCAUGGUUCCAAGAACUAAUUGGACAUCUUCUUGAAUAGACGAAAUGGAAUCAAUUGAAGUCCGUACUAUCCUCGCACGAAGAUCUUGCCAUAAUUGGCGAAGAAAAACCCGCUUGUGAUUUUUCAGGAAAUUCUCACCCACAAAAACUGAACAAGCACCAUUGUACGACCCUUUCGCGGUCUCUUUCAUCUUGGAUGUUCUGGCAGGCAUCAAAGUAGUCGGCGGCGAAGCUGCACCCGUUGAGCAAGCAUUGGCAGUGGAGUGAUGACUAGCUUGAGAUUCCUCGCGAUCGUCAACGUCAAUUAUCUCCUUUUCCAACUUAAAAAAAAAAAAAAAAAAAAAUCAUUAUAAAAAAAAAAAAAAAAAAAAAAAAAAAAAAAAAGGGAAAAGUAUAAAGUGCAACCUUCUCAGCAAAAGUGUCAUUUGUUCGAGAAUGACUGUCCACGUUGUUAUCAAUAUGAAGAAGAUCUUGUGGUUUUGAAGAUUGCGGGUCCCUCUUCGGCCUUUUCCAAUGACGCUCUAUAUGGCUAUUGUCACUCUCAUCCGAAGGAGGCAAAACGUUCUUCUUCUUUAUAUCUCUAGGAGGAUUUUUGGUUUGGAGAACAUUUUCGCGAGAAAGAUUGUCGAGACUACCUCUUGCCUCAUCUUCUUUGUCUUCAAGUGGAAUCUUACUUGACUCCAAGUUCAUCAGACUCGCAGCUUUAUUUUCAAGAUAAGUUCCGUAAGCUUUAGUCCACCAUCUCUUAUAGUCGUCCGUGUGAAACUUUCUCGGAUUUUGAGGAACGAUGGAAAACAUCACUUUAGACAUGGACUCGAGCAAAACACAUAGACGCCAAUAACGGAGUCCAUCUAUUAAAGAAGCCUCGCGAACGUCUUCAUCAAGUACUCCCGGAACAUCUUGGUAAAACCCAAAUUGACGGCUAAACCGAUGAGGACUAUAUGGCUCAAUAACGAAACGAUUACCACGCCGCAAGGAGAGAUAGCUCGAGCGAAUGGCGAUGAAAUAAUUUCUCUCGAACCCUUUAGUUGUUCCAUCAUCAACAUAUAAAGAAGACUCGCUCCUAGGGAUCGUGGUGCAAGUCCAAGACAUAAGAUCUCCUUUGUGAAUCCGUUUGCGUGCAUCCGCGGGAGUGUAGUAUCUAGCGCUUCUUUCUCCGGAAUAAGAUACCAUCUUUGGGCCAUCGACGGCUACGCCUUGCGGAACUUGACAAUGGGUCUUGAAAUAAAACGCCAACCAACUAUAGACGAAGUGAAUAGGAAACGGAGAAUUCUCUUGAUGGGGUCUCAAGGAUCUCGAAAUCCUAUUUAUGCCAUUGAAGAUGCUUGCCAAGACAGGAACUGCAAGAGAGACUUCUUCGCCACUCGCCAUUAUGCUAGCCAUCUUGAAUGUUGAAGGACGUAUCAUGCCCACAUCAUCAAUAGGGAGGACGAAGGUGCAAAGCCAACAAGCCAAAUGGGCCGCCAAGUACGUCUCGGACCUCAGUUCGACAUCAACGCUAAUGCUCGAAAACACAGCUUCUUCAAUGUUGAUCCAUUUCGCAUGUGCUUCAAUAUUGCCGGAAGGAUUGUGAGUUGACUUGGGGCGAACACCUUUCUUUUCUUUGCGCGGAGGAGGUUGAGUGUACUUCUUCUGCUUCUUCGACCAAAACUGAAUCCAGCUUUCGACAGAGACAUUGGAGGACGGAUCUUUAGAGCGCUUCCGAAGUAAGUGGUAGGCAUGGAAUAGAUGUCGGCAGGAACGGUGAGAAUAUCGAACACCCUUUGCAUCGGAACCGACGAGUUCUUGAGAGGCAGGGACAACUUCAUCGUAAAGCAGCCCGGUUAACGAUAGCCCGGAGAGGAUGUGCAAAUCCCAUAAAGAGAUAGACAUUUCUCCGGGAGACGUCAAGAGGGUAUUUGUAGUCGGACACCAUGCCUCGAAGAACGCCUUCAUAAUUUCGGAAUUGUAGUCGUACGUGAAGAGGGAAGCAUAUACAGGAUCAUAGAUCUUCGCGGACUUCAGCUUGUGCUGGCAACGACUGAGAACGUCUUCGGUCCACUCCCAGUACCCUUUGAAGAAUUGAAAGCCGCCGGAAAGCUCGAGAGUAUCUCCCCACUUGACUCUUCCAUUCACGAUGUUGUCACCCAAAGUCGGCAGAAGGCUCGGACCGCUUGACUCUUCCGGAAGCAAGGAUCUGUCGGGUUUAUGAUUUGAUGCUCGCAAGCUAUACACGUACUCGUACUUAUUAUGAGGAUGCUCGUGGGACCAAACGGACAUGCGAUUCGGAGUCGUGAGGCGUGGCCAUUGCUUUGCGUAAGAACCAAUAAGGGGGGCAUAAAUCGUCAAGACGGUUCCUUUGUCAUUCGGUUGGUAGCGAUCGUCAAGAAUUACCAAUUGCUCGUCGCCGGAAGAGGAGAAAGCUUGCUUGAAACAAACCAUCGCAAAACCUGUCAAAACAAUUUCAAAACAAAGAGCAAUUAGUUUGACAAAAAAAAAAGGAGGAAGAAAAAGAACGGGGGCAAGGAACUGCGCUAAAAUCAAAUACCAAAUCUGUCGAGUUGCGAAACCUGGAAAAGGAAAACAGUAUUUUGUUUUGGUAAGCAAUCGAGCAAAAUAAACGGGCAAAACUCGAAUUUAAAAAAAAAAACAAAAAAAAAAAAAACAAAAAAAAAAAACAAAAAAAAACAAAAAAAAAAGGGGAGAAAGCAGUUCUUAGUGUCAUAUUAUCAAACACCUGGCGGACGUGUUCAAAGAGUCUGAUUAUGCGUAUAUUUUAUAUGCAAAACUGACCUGGAAUCGAUUACAAGUAGCAGACAGAAGCAAAUAAUUGGCAGGUCGUUGGAUUUGUGAAUGAAAAAAAAACGAAGAGGGCAUCCCCCUUUUAUAAGGGAUAGAUGAAGCUAAUCCCACAAACCUUAGGUUUCUAAUCAACCAAUCAAAAGAAAGCAUAAUCUCAAUAGAAGAAGGAGUGUUCAACUUGUCCGUGAAACCAAAUUGCAAUGGGAAAAGGAGUGUUUAUUUUGCAGAGAAGAGUCACUGCCCAUUAAACUUCGAUUUGAAUUGGAAGAGAACUGCCCAUAUAGAAUUAAAAUUCUCUCAUCGUACGAUCCUCAUGUUUCACUCGAAGUAAAUUAAAAUUCCCAACUUAUGAUGCAGAGAAACCCGUUGAAGUUAGAAGUUCAAAAUUACGGUGUUGCUGCGCGAGUGUUUCAAAAAAAAAAAAAAAAAAAAAAAAAAAAAAAAGAGAUCGAAGAAUGGGAGAAGUUCUAAGCAUGAGGAAGUCUGAUGCUUCUAGCCGUCCGCACUUGUGAUUUGGGUGGGCCCAUUCAAUUUUAUUAUUAAGUAUGGGUUACGAUUUCAAUGAUCUCACAAAAGGUGCUCAAUUUUGAAAGUGUUGAGCUUGGGAGAUGUUUGUUACAAAACAAAAAAAAAUAAAUAAAUAAAAGUGAUUAUCGUGACUUAUUCACUUCAAGACGCAUCGUCCGUGAACAAGUCUCGUGGGGGCAUUUGUAGAUAAAUAAAUUUUAUCCAAAAGAAAGGGACCAUUGUGCAAUUACGAAACAAGGAAUUCUAUUUAAAUUCUAUGGCCCAUGGCAAUUCCGUAAUUAAAUAUUUAAAUUCAAAUCAAAUCAAGAUUAUGUGCCGUAUAUUGGUAUCUAUAUUUAAAUAUCAAUUACAUAUUUUCUAUUUUAAAUCUAGGGAUUUAAUUAAAUUAAUUCCUAAAUUAAAUAGAUAAUUGAUUUUAAAUAUAUAUUUACCAGUAGAACUAUUUAUUCUCUUCCAAAUUAUAAGGGAUAAAUAUCAAUUAAUUAUUGGCCAAUAGAAUUGUUUCUUCUCUUCCAAGUUACAAGAGAUAAAUAUCAAUUUAAAUCGGGCCAAUCAAAUCGCGCCACAUCAUCAGUAAGGCCCAUCAAGGACUCUUAUUCUACCACUAUAAAUAGGAAUCCUCCCUCCACAAUUAAAAACACAACUGAAGGAGCAGAAAUCGUAGGAGCAAAAUUCUCUCUACAAUUCAAGAAGCAAGGAAGAAGAAUUCGUAGGAGGUAAGAUUCUCUCUCUACAUUCAAAGUGUUCUUCGUCAUAUUCGAGGUGUUCUUGAGCAAAUUCAAGGCGUUCUUCGUCAAAUCUAGCGUUCGAUCCGAGAUAACGGUGCCAAACCUUCGGAUUAACGUUAAUCAAUUCAAGUCAAGAUCACUGGAAGAUUGAAGGGCCAAAUCCAUCAAGAAUUUCAAGAUCUUCAAGUCAACGCCCGUCAAAGUUCAACAAAUCAAGAUCGAAGGAAGAUUGAGGGGCCAAAUCCAUCAAGAACUUCAAAAUCUUCAAGUCAAAUCAAGUCAAAGUUCAACGUUCGAUCCGAGAUUCAAGUCGCAAGACCCUCGGAAGACGUUAUUCAAAUCCAAAUCAAAUCCGGAGAAGAUCAAAUCAACGACUCGUCUCCGAAAUUCAAAGUCAAUCAUAUAUUUUUCUUGAGAGAAUAAUCAGAGGAUUAAAAUAGAGAUUGUAGCCCGCAAUUUAUUUAUUUUAAUUCAAUAAAAUCAUCUUUGUUCAAUUUUUCUUGUUUGUUUAUAUCGCAGAUAAGAAUUUGUUGUUACACUUAUCUUUUUCUUUUUUAAUUUUAAAUUCAUAAUAUAUUUCAUUUCCUACUCAAUUGAUUAUUACUUUAAUUGAUCACAUACAAGGUUCUGAAAUUAAUUAUUAUAUAGGUUUUAAAAACAUGUGAAUAUCUAUGAUUACUUUAUUAGUAUUGGAGUAGCACAUAAAAUUUUAUCUAGUGCGAAUAAGUUAAUUAAACAACUUACUCGAUAUUCGAUUCAAGAUCGUUCUUUAAAAGCUCGUUAUUCAAGUUCAGUUUUUUUUUUUUGCAUAAUGAAUCAAAGAAAUGUUUUUAAUUUAAUAAGAUGUGAAGCUCGAUUCGAGUUCAGCUCAAUUAGUAUAUAUAGUUAUACAAUAAUUUGCCCGACAAAACCAAGUAAUAUAAUAAGAUAAAGUUAUUUUAAAUAUAGAUUGAAUUUGAUUAAAGAAGUGAUGACAUAAACUCAUUCAAAUGCUUUAAUCAACUUGACACUACUAUACAAGAAACAUAAAAGAGAAAACAAUUCACGAAUUGCAUGCGCAUCCAUAUCUUCUUUCCUUUAAUUAAUAUUAUUAGGAUAAAUUACAUCCACCCGAUAUAUGGUCAAAUUGCGAAAAUUCUCUCAUGUUUGGGUAAUUAUAACCACCCCUCAACUAUAAAUUUUCUUACACGUCUACCCUUGUGGUUUAAAAUUUAGUGGAAUAUUCGAGAUCAUAUUGGAUAUUAUCACUUUUGUACCCGUUUUAUCCCAUUCGAACUCCACAUUUUGAAGCAAGGUGAUCAUAAUAUGUGUUUUUUGGCUUGUAUAUAUCAGAUUGUGAUGCAUCAGAAACUGUAUUUUUACACAAAACGUGUACAAACUAGAGCACAUUCCACGAUAUCUAUAUGAUUAUGUUGAAUUUGACACCAUAAGGGUGGAGGUGUAAGAAAAAAUCAUAGUUUAGGGGAUAUAUGUAAUCGUCCAAACAAGAGGAAUUUUUUCGUAAAUUGACCAUACCUCGGGGAGUUAUUGUAAUUUACCCAUAUUAUUAUUAUUAUUAUUAUUAUUAUUAUUAUUAUUAUUAUUAUUAUUAUUAUUAUUAUUAUUAUUAUUAUUAUUAUUAUUAUUAUUAUUAUUAUUAUUAUCAUCAUCUUUGGUUUUAUAUCUUGUCACAUCCUAGUAUUCAUGUCUCCUUUUCUCCCUUUUGAUUGACCGUCAAAUGCGCAUGCGUAUAAGUUACAAACACUCCAUUUGGUUUGAUUCGAUACUAUAUUUUAUAACCACUCCAUUUCAAAUUCAAAUUCUUUAUUGACAUAUGUUAAUCAUUUCAUAUUAAUACCUCAAAUUAAUAUUAAUCAAUUGGGGUGAAUUUAGCCCUAGAUCCAGUUUGGGGCGAGCUUCCCAAAAAUUGAAAUUGAAAUUGAGUGAGUUUAAUUCAAAAGGAGGUGUGCAAAAUUUCUCCAAUCAUUUUAACUUAAGUCCAAAUUUCUAAGAAAACAAAAUUGAGAAUAGAAACUUUGACUUGAAUUGGUAUUUUUCCCAUGUGACAAAAGUAGGGCUGGGCAAAAAUUACCAAAUACCGAUUACCACGGUAUACCUACCACAAAUUACCGAAUAAAUACCGAACUAUCGGUUACCACUGCAUUUGGUACGGUAUCGUACCGUACCAUUUUCUUACGGUACGGUAGCGGUAUUGUAUCUUCAAUACCAUGGUAAUACCGUACCGUACCGAAACUUAUUUUAAAAAUUAGUUAACAUAUUUUUCCAUUUAUAUUGUUAAAUAAAAAAUAAAUAGUCAACAAAUAUUAUUAAAAAAAUAAAAAACAAGAAUAAAGAUAUGAUACAUCCAAUAUAUAUUAUAUAUACAUAAUUAUAAUUUUUUUUUACUAUUUUAUAUUUAUGCAAACUCAAUAUUUGCCUCUCGUUGAAGUUGUUUAGGUCACGUACUUCUUUAGUUUCAAAGUCCAACUAAUCUCUUAUUGGUGGAAUACUUUUUGCCAUAAUUUUCUUCUCCCUUUAUUUCCUCCCUAAUUCUCAACCUUUUGUUUCAUUUGCAUUAUUGCAACAUAGUUUUUUUUCUAUUUCUCUUUAUAUAAACCAUGAAAUUUUUUUGCUCAUUAAUUUCUACAAUUUUUCUAUAGAUAUCUUAGCAAUCAUUAGUUAAUUGAAGUGCUAUUACGGUCGUAUAAUGUACAUUCAUGUAAAUUUCCUGAUUAUCAUAUUCAUUUGCUUAAUUUGUUUUAUUUAAUAUUCAUCUUAAUUAUGAUAUCAUUCGAGUUAAUCAACACAGUGAUGUACGGUAGAUUACCACGUACCGAUCAUACCGUACCGAAACUAACGGUAUACCGCAAUUGUUGGUACGGUAACGGUAUAGAAUUUUUCAAUACCAAAAGAUACGGUAGGUACACGGUAUUGAAUAAAAUGUUCGGUAACCGUACCGAAACCACCCCUAGACAAAAGUGUUGUCUUUUCAGUUUUCAGUAAUAAUAAUAAUAAAAUGUGAAGAGGAGAUUCAACAUAUAUCAAAACCAUUUUAUAACGUUACUGUGCUGUGCAAUGCAUCCUUAUGAUUUUUUGUCUCUUGUCUUUAAAAGUAGUGCAAAUUAUAGUCCAACUUCAAUUCGGUCCAAACAUACAUCCCUUUGUCCAAUGUUUUUGGUCUCCAUUUCACUUAUUGUCUUUGAUUCUUCUUCUUUUUUUCUUUUUUAAAUUUAUUUAUCAUUAAUUCGAUCAUCGUCUGUACUGACAAUGAGUACAAUCGGCAAAAAACGUGCGAAAUCAAUCAACAUAUUAUGUUACUUUCUAGAUUCAACAAUUUUACGCGAUGUGAAUAAGUAUAGAUUUACGCACUACAUUCGUACAAAAUGUAGCAUAUACGAGUGUGACAAAAGUUUUGCUACGGUAAAUGGCCGUACCAAUUAAUACUUUUUUGCUACGGUAAAUUCUAGUAUUUACUACGACUUCAAAAUUGUUAUGUAGUAAAAAGUACCUUUUAUUAUGAUUUUUUACUGUAGCAAAAAAUUUCGUAGUAAUAAACAAAUUUUCUACUAGUGACGGUUGAAAUCUACCCAAUGUAAAUAACCAGAUUUAGCAUCUAAUUGUCCAAAAAUGAAGGUACAAAAUGAAAUCCGAUAUUAAUAACAAAUAAAAGCCAUAAUUAUAAGAAUAUAUCAGACAAAGAAGAACAUAUAUAUAUAUAUAUAUAUAUAUAUAUAUAUAGAGAGAGAGAGAGAGAGAGAGAGAGAGAGAGAGAGAGAGAGAGAGAGAGAGAGAGAGAGAGAGAGAGAGAGAGAGAGAGAGAGAGAGAGAGAGAUUCUUAAAACAAACAAACAAAGUAGAACAGUUACAAACAGAACACACAUGCAUGCAUGCAUAUUUAUCUUAAUUACACUUCAAUCAUAUACAUAUACAUAUAAUAAUAUAUAUACUGAAUAAACCACCUAAAACAUUACUCAGAAUAAUUCAGCAACUUCAUAUCCAAAUGGGCUUUCUGGAAGAUCUAUUUCUUCAUAACUGCAAAUUUCAUUAAUUACCAAAAUAAUAUUAAUAUAAAUUACAAUCAUUAAUAAAAAUAAAAAAUAAAUAAAAUUGGAGUUACAAGAUGAACUAAUUUGUCUUGAGAUAUUAAUUAAUUACCUCUCCGGCGGCUCGUUGAUGCUCGUCUUAACGUGAGUACGUUUGUCUUGACUAGUGCUGGAGCCAUCAGAUGACGACGACUGGCUCGUGAGCAACAACGUAUGAUCUGUCUCCGAGACGAUUUCCUUCCUCUUGAGCUCAACUACUAACAUACACAGAAUAUACAUAUACAAUAAUGUAAGCAUGCAUCCAAAAAAAGAAACAAUUUUUUAAUAUAUAUAUGUAACGAAAAAUGAAUCUUGAAAAAAAAGAAAAAGUUGGAGUCUUGCUUGAAGGAGGCUUGGAUUCUGCAUCUUGAUUUGGAGCGCUGUUAAUUGCAUGCUCGAUUUUCUCCUCCGUCUUUCUGCACGGAGAAUAUACUACAACAUCAAUCACAACAUUUUGAAAUAAUAUUAUUCUAAUUAAGAUAAUUGCAUGCGUAAAAAUCGACGAGAGGUUCGUGUAUGAUACAUCUUUAAAAUUAAAAGGAGAACUUAUAAGAAUUGUAAGACUUGAUUUGUCGUAAUUUUUACGUCGAAAAAUCUGCACAUCAAGAAUUCAACAUAUACGCAUGUGCAUGUAAAAAAACGCCCGUAUUUAUCAGAAAAUGGCACGUAAAUUAAAGUCGAAUAACCGCCACGAGACACUGAAUUAAAUAGGAAUAGCGUCACAAGACACGACAAAUUAAAAAGAAAAACAGAGAAGACAUACGUAAGAGACCGUAUAUUUUAUUACCUAUCAAGGACGAUUGUCUUUCGAUAAGGUUUCACCAUGACGUGCGCUUCACCGAUAAAAUGAGGGUUCGUUUUAGUCAGGACAAGGGCGGCUGUCUCCGGAUAAACAAACGUCACAAAACCGUACAUCCUCUUGUCCAAAUUCGGAAUCCUAACUUCCCUUACCGGCCCAAAAUUCCUGCAAAUUAAAUUAAAUAAUAAUUAAUAUUCUCGCCGUUAAUUACAACAAUGUAACCAAUUAUUAAUACCUAGUAGCUAGACAUAUAAUAAACUUUUUCCUUACUCGAAAUAAUCGUAAAUAUCUAGAUCAGAGAAACUACUCUGCGGAAGAAAAGUCAGAUAAACUUGGCACGAAUUCGCUGCAAUAAAUUCAUCUCCGUUUCUUUCUUCGAUAAAUCUAUUGUACUUGUGUAUAUCAUCCGCCAAAAUAAUCGACUGCCUCCCAUGUGGCCUAUAUUGAAAAUUUAAAAAUAAAAUUAAAAACAUUAAUCACCUUCAGUUUAGCUUAUAUAUAUAUAUAUACAAACACACGUAACGAAAGAUCAUUAAUAAUGACACCUGUCAAUGACGCGAAUGCAUUUCGUCAUGUAAGCAAAAAGUUGAGCAACGGUGCAUUGCGCUUCUCUAAGAUACACGUCGACCAUAAACGCCCUCUCGUACUUAUCGUAAUAAAGAAUGGGCAGCGAAGAAAUCGAGACAGGAAUACCCCUCCUCGAUUUCAAGAGCUCGAUUAUCUCCACCUCGAGUUGCUUGAGGGCUCCACGCGAAAACGUGCGGUCAAUAUUCGGCUCGUUCGGUGGGUUAAGUACCAUAUAGCCCCCGUUCUCCGUUCCAAGUACAUGCAAGAACUUACACGCGCCCCCGUACUUACAAUACCCCUUCUGGAAGUUAUCGCAUAUCAUUGCUCCGGAAGGUUCCGGAAAGUGGGGGCAGAAAUCAUGCACAUGACAGUAUUGCAUGAACUGAUCUUCCAAGGGCAAGAUCAGAUGAGGUUGUUGGAAGUUAUGAACCGAUGGGUGGUGAUAAGUGGCCGGGAUCGUAGCUAGAGGAAUAUUCCGUUGUCCGGUUUCGAGUGGGGAACGAGAUGAAGAAGGGGUGAAGGGGGUGAAGUUUGUGGGGAGUUUUGUUUUGGGGGGUGAGAGUAGUGGAGUACUAGGGUUUGGAGAUGAGGUGAGGUCUUGUUUGACUUUUUCGAUCAACGAGCGGAGUAGGUAUUCGGGUCCGAAGGCUAAACGGAUCAUUUCGAGUUUGGAGUAGCCUUUCAGGAGGAGAUAACCGAUUAUUUUGGAGACGUUUUCCGGGUCGAGAUCUUGAAUUCUUUCGAAAACGGCUUUUGUUGACUCGGAGUAGUUCAUCUUCAAACUCAACCUGUAUAUUAAACAACAAUUAAUUAAUUGUGUAUAUAGUGUGUAUUUAUGUAUGUAUGUAUAUAUAAGAAUGGCACAACAUAUAUUAAGAAAUAGUUGGAGAAAAUGAAGAAAGAAAGCAAAAUCAAAUUAAAGAAUAGAAUCAAAUCAACUCAAAAUGCAUGGAUAUAUACAUAGGCAUAUCAUAUUAGUUAAAUUUUGUAAAUUUCACUAAUAUACCAUCAAACUGACAUUUUUGCAAACGGCAAUUUCAAGCUAAUUAAAAUGACUAAUUGGUUAAUUAAACUCAUAUACAUAUAAUGGUGUGAUUAAAGCUAUAGCGACGACGUUAAUUUCGAUGCAAGAACAAGAACAAUCACCAACAAACAGUAUUUAACUACUAAGAUUAGACAAGCACAAACACGAGCUAGGAUAAAUGAUGAAUGUGCAAAUAAAACGAUCUCUUUAUAUUUGAUGGAAAACGGAGCAAUUAGAAAUUAACAAAAAGAGCACGAAAUUUAAUCUGCAUGAACCAUUAAUUAAUUUAAAAAGAAGAUCUUCUUUCACUACAAGGAAACAUGCAUUGUACAAGAAAUGAUCCAUUUUCUUGCAUGCAAGAUCAUAAAGAUCAUAUCUUUACAAAGAAUUUGCCAAUAUGAAGAAAAACCCAUGUCGAUUGAAGUGUUGAAAAGGAUUAUUAAUGAAAAAAAAAAGAUCAAAUUUUUAAAAGAAAAACAGUUCUUGAAAAAAAAAAAAACCCACCAAAAUCUUUAGCUGCAGAGAAGAUCGAGGCCGAAUGAACACCGAGUUUCAGUCGCAGAGUUGAGAAGAAGAAGAAGAAUAGUUGAUCACUGAGAAAAUGUGGUUGGCAUAAUAUAAUUGUAAUAUUUGGUGGUGGUACGGUGGGUAUAUUAAUUAAGAUAUAUAUGACAUACAUAUAUUGAUAUGACUCCAAAAUUGCUCACGAAAAUUAAGAGGAGAAAAAGGACACACAUCGAUAAAGGUAUUGUCUUUUGCUCUCAUUUCUCGCCUACUUUCAGUUUCUCUAUUUCUUCUUCUGCUUCUUCUGCAAUUGUAUUAUUAGUUUACAAAACCCACCGAUAUAACUCAAAUCAUCCAUUGUUUAUAUCGAUCUCCACGUACACCUUGUCAAUUCAUUAUAUAUUUUUUAUUUCUAUAUAUUUUCUAGCAAUAUAUAUAUAUAUAUGGAACCAUGCAUCCAUCACAGCAGAUAUAGAAACCAGAAGUGUAUACCUAACUUUUAAGGUUAGCAUGGGACAAAACCCACCUCUCUCCUUUCAUCUCCUUAAUUUAUAUUUUUAUAUUUAUUUUUGUGUGGGCCCCAGGCCCAGAGAAAAACAACGUACGUAGGCAGUUGAUGUAAGAGAGCAUGCAAACUGAAAAUGAGGAUGUAAUUACUGCUUUUUUUUUUAGGUAGUAUGGUACGAAUUAGUUAGAAAGGCAGAUGAUCGAUCGUAUCGAUCACAUUUAAACUCACCUACUGUAUUUUGCAUGCAUGCCAUUUGUCUCAUGACUACUUUCUUUAUCAUGCAUGCAUCAUCUAAACCCCACCACCGAUAUAUCUCCCUUGUUUGUCUGUUGCGGACGAGUUGUUUCGUUUCUUGCAAGUCGAGACUCUAGUUCAAUGGGGAGAGCCAGCAGGGCGCGGAUCAUCGCUUCGUUUUGAACCACAAGUGGUACUUCCCUCAAUUCAUGUCAUGUUGCUGGCUUUCCGCCAGCUUUCUUUUAUCUUUGGGCCGAAUAUAGUCACACUCGUCGCCUAUAACUACCCUACAUUGGGCUUAGUGGUCAAUGUGGGAGUGGAUCUGAGCUUUAUUUGUAAAAUUAUUAUUACUUGGACUUUUAGGACAAUCGAGCCCAUAUCAAGGAGGAUUUAAAUUGGAAAAAAAAGUUAAAAACAAUUUCUUAAUAAAUGAAAUAUUAUAAUUAGAUGGGCCAACAUAUUUUUCAAGAUCCCAUUAAAUAUACUUAUUAUAAUUGUUAGACACUUGGUCUUGGAGUACGUAGGCCUGUUGAAAGAAAGCCCAAACGGUGUACUUUAACUCAUUGCAGCCAGUAAUUAAUUGUAGGGUAAAUUACAAACACCCCUGAGGUAUGGUCAAAUUACAAAACCCCCCUCUUGUUUGGAUAAUUACAUCUAUCCCCUUCAGCUAUGGUUUUUUCUUAUACCUCCACCCUUAUGGUACCAAAUUCAACAUAAUCAUCUAGAUUGCGCGGAAUGUGCUCUAGUUUGUACUCGUUUUGUGUAAAAAUACAGUUUCCGAUGCACCACAAACUGAUAUAUACAAGCUAAAAAACACAUAUUAUGAUCAUCUUGCUUCAUAAUGUAUAGUUCGAGUGGGAUAAAAUGAGUACAAAAGUGAUAAUAUUCCAUAUAAUCUCGAAGAUUCCACUAAAUUUGAGGAGUUGAGGUGGUGGUUGUAAUUAUCUAAACAAGAAGGGUGUUUUUGUAAUUUAAUCAUACCUCAUGGGUGUUUGUAAUUUACCCUUAAUUGUAAUAAUUUGCAAGUUUUAUUUUUUAAUUAGGGUAAAUUACACCCACACCCCUGGGGUAUACUUAAAUAACUUUAAGGUCCUUGUGGUAUCGAUAAUUACAUUAACCCCCUUGAAACGUAGUUAUAAACUCUAAUGGUAUAAUGCAUUGGAUACGUUAUUACGAUAGAGUUCUAACGGACUAUUGGUUUCAGGAAGUGGUGAAGACAACAAAGAGUUAUGAGUGAUUUAAGAAAUAUUGGGGGAGCCAUGUCACCCUAUAACUCCCCAUAACUCUAUGUUACCUCCAUAACUAUCUAAAAGUAAUAGUCCAUUAGAACCCUAUCGGAAUAAUGUAUCUAAUGCAUUAUCCCGUUAGAGCUUUUAACUACCUUUCAGGGGGGUGAGUGUAAUUAUCGAUACCACAGGGACCUUACAGUUAUUUAAGCAUACCUCAGGGGUGUGGGUGUAAUUUACCCUUUUAAUUAUUUAUUUACUUUGAGUCUUACAAAUCAAAAUCAAAGUCUACUAUUUGCAUUUGAUUUUCUAGAUAAUAAAUUGUUAAAAACUUAUAAAAUUAAAUUUGUUCUUGCAAAUAAACAAGUUUGACAACCCCCACCGCCACGUUCUCUUCUCACCGGCGCAACCCCACCCUUGAUUCACCUUCCUCCACCACCACCACCGCCACUGCCGCCGGCAGCUCCACCAUCCGUCCGUCUUCCUAUUUAUAGAUCCACGUAGUAUAUGUAAUCUAUUCUUCUGAAAUUAAUUUGUUGCGAGGAGAUAAAUUAUACCAAAAAUCAGAAUUUAAUGUAUCAGUGGAGGAAAUUCGACUUCUUCGAGGAGAAGAAGAUCAAAAUUCCGGAGGAGAUAGAGGCCGGAAUUCAAUGCUGCUCCAGCGGCCGAGGCAGGAUCGUCUUAGGUUCCCAAGACGGCACCGUUUCGCUUCUCGAUCGUACCCUCCAGCUCCACCGCUCCUUCCCCGCUCACUCCGCCUCCGUUCUCCUACUCCAACAACUCAAGGUAUCUAACAUUUAAUUAUCCCCAAUUUCAUCCUGGGUUUUAUAAGGUUUUGUGUGUGUGUGUGUGUUUGAUCCAAUUGUUCUUCUGAUUGUGACAAAUCGAUGUUUUCUUAUCAUUAAAACUCUAGGCUUGACAAUUAAUUUUAAUGCUAUAAUUUUCAAUUAAGCUCAAUUAGGGUAUUUUUUUCAUUGUGUUCCUGGUCCAGUAACCUGUGAUUUCCAUACUUUACUUAACGCAAAAUUUCGUUUUCUGUGCUGGCGAAUUAGCAACGGAACUUCUUAGUGACAGUUGGAGAAGAUGAACAAAUGCCGCCACAACAAGCGGCUAUAUGCCUAAAGGUUUUCGACCUUGAUAAAAGGCAAGAAGAGGAGUCGAGUUCAUCAAGUCCAGAGUGCCUCCAAAUUCUGCGGAUUUUUACCAACCAAUUUCCCGAAGCAAAGGUACAGUUUAUGCAAUAUAAACACCCUUAUUAUUAAAUGUGUACUUUGUAUAGGCGUGCUUGUGAAGUUAAAAUACCCUUAAAAUGGCUGUUCAACAGAUCACAUCUUUCGUGGUUUUCGAGGAAGCUCCACCGAUUAUAUUUAUUGCACUUGGAUUGGACAACGGUUGUAUUUAUUGCAUUCAAGGCGACAUUGCCCGUGAAAGAAUUAAACGCUUCAAGCUAGAGGUUGACAGUGGUCAGCCUGGCAAAACAAAGUCAGCUAUUACAGGGCUCGGAUUUCGUGUGGAUGGUCAAGCGUUUCAACUCUUUGCUGUCACAUCAAGUUCAGUGAGCUUGUUUAACUUGCAUGCUCAAACACCUACUGGACAAACACUUGAUCACAUUGGUUCCGAAACUGCUAGUGUAGCAAUGAGUGAUCGCUUGGUUGGUUACGCUCUCUUUAUUUCAGUCUUUGUUCUAAAUUAUAAAGUAAAUGAACUAAACUCUUUUUUUUUUCUUCUUUUUUUGGGAAUUAGGAACUGAUUAUUGGUCGGCCCGAAGCUGUGUAUUUCUAUGAAGUUGAUGGCCGAGGCCCGUGUUGGGCUUUUGAGGGAGAGAAAAAGUUCCUCGGCUGGUUUCGUGGGUACCUUUUAUGUGUUAUUGCUGAUCAAAGAACUGGGAAGAAUACUUUCAACAUUUACGAUCUAAAGAACCGUUUAAUAGCCCAUAGUAUCGCAGUUCAAGAAGUUUCCCACAUGCUCUGUGAAUGGGGUACAAUCGUACUCAUAAUGGCCGACAAAUCUGCCCUUUUUAUCGUGGAGAAGGAUAUGGAGAGCAAGUUGGAUUUGCUUUUCAAGAAAAAUCUAUACACGGUAGCUAUUAAUCUUGUCCAGAGCCAGCAAGCUGAUGCUGUGGCAACUGCUGAGGUGCUGAGGAAAUACGGCGACCAUUUGUACAGCAAACAAGACUAUGACGAAGCGAUGGCUCAGUAUAUACUCACGAUCGGUCAUUUAGAACCUUCGUAUGUCAUUCAGAAGUUUUUAGAUGCACAGAGAAUUUACAAUUUAACGAAUUACUUGGAGAAGUUACACGAGAAGGGGCUUGCUUCAAAAGAUCACACCACUCUUUUGCUCAACUGUUACACGAAACUAAAAGACGUUGACAAGCUGGAUCUAUUCAUUAAAAGCGAGGAUGAACAUAAAUUCGAUGUGGAAACUGCGAUAAGGGUAUGCAGAGCUGCUAAUUACCACGAGCACGCGAUGUAUGUUGCAAAGAAGUCAGGGAAGCAUGAAUGGUACUUGAAGAUUUUACUCGAGGACUUGGAUAGGUACGAUGAGGCGUUGCAGUAUAUAAAUAGCCUCGACCCAAGUCAAGCCGGGUUGACCAUUGAAGAGUAUGGGAAGAUUCUCGUAGAGCACAAGCCGAAGGAGACAAUUCAAAUACUGAUGAGGCUUUGUACCGAAGAAGGAGAACCGGCUAAAGGUGGAACCUUUAUAACCAUGCUGCCAUCUCCUGUCGAUUUUCUCAAUAUUUUCGUGCACCAUCCACAGUCGCUUAUGGAAUUUCUCGAAAAAUACACCAACAAAGUGAAGGAUUCUCCUGCUCAAGUCGAAAUCAACAACACGCUAAUGGAGUUGUACUUGUCUCAUGACUUGGACUUCCCUUCUCUUUCACAGACUGGCAGCAAUGAAAACGGCGAUCUUGGAACGAAUAGAGGUUCAAAUGCUGCUGCAACAACUUCAAGAACAGAGAGUAAUGGAAACGUAUUUUCUGAUGAUGCAAUCGAGGAGAAAUAUCGCAAAGAGAGACGUCGAAAAGGGCUGAUCUUGCUGAAAAAUGCUUGGCCCGCCGAACAGGAGCAGCCACUGUACGAUGUCGACCUUGCGAUAAUUCUGUGUGAAAUGAACUCGUUUAAAGAAGGGCUAUUGUAUCUGUACGAGAAGAUGAAACUGUAUAAAGAGGUCAUUGCAUGUUAUAUGCAGGCGCACGAUCACGAAGGUUUAAUUGCGUGCUGCAAGAGAUUAGGGGAUUCGGGUAAGGGCGGUGACGCAUCUCUUUGGGCAGAUCUGUUGAAGUACUUUGGUGAACUUGGAGAAGAUUGCUCGAAAGAAGUCAAAGAAGUUUUGACUUACAUAGAAAGGGAUGACAUGUUGCCUCCCAUUGUAGUUCUUCAAACCUUGUCGAGAAAUCCAUGCCUUACUCUUUCUGUGAUUAAGGAUUAUAUAGCUCGAAAGCUGGAAAAGGAGUCGAAGCUGAUUGAUGAGGAUCGGAUAGCUAUUGAAAAGUAUCAGGUAAUUUUUUCAUUUCACUUAAGGCAUCUUUCUUUUGUCAUUCGAUAAGUAAAGAACUAGAGUUUGUUAUACUGCAAGAACUUACUGACUAUAUCCACUAUCUCAACAUAUACCUGCAUUAUUAUAGAUUGUUUUUGGUUUUGGAUUUUAAAUUCUGCAUUAGGUUUUUAAACGGUGCUUUAGAAGUUUCUUCAAGAAUUUCUGACAGUAUCUAGUUAAGACUGUUCUUCUGCAGUAUACUUUUAGUCUUCUCUUUCAUCUGGUUCCAAAUUUCAAAUUUCUCCAAUAUUAAAUCUUCACUGCUUGUCCGUCUAUAGAAAUGCAGUUGAUUCUUGAUUCCAUUUUAUAUUCUGAUUAUUCAACUGCAAAAUAAAAUACGAGCCGGAUUAUAGAUGAAAUUUGAUUUCCAGGACUUGGCGUCUUCAAAUAUGGUCAUAAUCUAAUGACGUCAUUUGUAGAAUCUUUUCAAUGAUGUCGAUACUUUCAAGAAUCAUCUGUGUACGAAACUUGUUCAAUUUUUGAAGGAGCAAUUGUUUUGUUCCUGCAUUUGCUAUUUUCGGUUUUCUUUGGCCGGUACUGCAAACAUUGUGUGUACAAUAUGUAUUGUAAAAAACAAGCUCAAACCAUUUGUUUAUUUGCAGGAGGAAACAUCAGCCAUGAGAAAAGAAAUCCAAGAUCUUCGGACAAAUGCAAGAAUAUUCCAGCUCAGCAAGUGCACCGCUUGUACUUUCACUCUCGAUCUCCCCGCGGUACAUUUCAUGUGUAUGCACUCUUUUCAUCAACGGUGCCUAGGUGACAACGAGAAAGAAUGUCCAGAGUGUGCUCCCGAGUACAGAUCUGUCUUGGAAACGAAGAGAAACUUAGAACAGAACUCCAAAAACCAAGAUUACUUCUUCCAACAAGUUAGAAGUUCAAAGAAUGGCUUUUCUGUAAUUGCUGAGUAUUUUGGUAAAGGCAUCAUCAGUAAAACUACUAAAGGAUCUUCGGAAGCUAUUAAACCGACCAAUGAUUACUCAAACGGCAGCUUUUGAGAUUUUUUGUUUUCCGGCAAUAAAAGUCGAAAUGAGACAUUAAUAUAUAUAUCUCUCUAUCUUGUUAGUGCUUGAUUUGGUUUGUGAUUUCUUUCCUAUAAACGGUGUUGUAAUUUGGCCGAAAGUGCCGAUAUUACGUGUUGUAGUUUUCGGGUUUUUUUUCUUCUAAUGUAUCAUUGGAUUUGUUGUGCAUUUCUUAGGGUAUGUUUGGUUGAUUCUUUGGUGACAAUUGAAUUAUAGAAACAAGAUGAUUCUUGAAUGAAUUAUUGUGCUAUGUAAUGUAAUAAUCUGAUUUUUUUCUGAGUGGGUUUGGUCAAACAUGAAACCUAUGUUAUAAUAUUUGUUGUUAUAUUACUGGAACUAUAUACUAGCAGUGCUGGUAUGAAAGAUGAAACAUCAUUUCAUGGGCAAGGGUAGUUUGGACAAAGCACAUGAAAAGAAAAAGUAGAUGGGGCCAUUUAAUUCAGCAACAAAAGAGGACAAAAGAUAGUUUAAGUUUUGAGUAGGCCAAACCCCAGUUUCUAAAAAGUUAAAGCCAAACACUUCCCACAAUAAUAAUAAUAAUAAUAAUAAGGGUAAAUUACACCCACACCCUUGUGGUAUGCUUAAAUAAUUUUAAGGACCCUAUGGUAUCGAUAAUUACACUCACCCCUGAAACGUAGUUAAAAACUCUAACGGAUAAUGCAUUGGAUACAUUAUUCCGAUAGGGUUCUAAUGGACUAUUAAUUUUAGCUAGUGGUGGAGAUAAGAUAGAGUUAUGGGGUGACAUGACUCGCCCAAUAUUUCUUAAAUCACCCAUAAAUAUUUGUUGUCUCCACCACUUCCUGAAACCAAUAGUCCAUUAGAACUCUAUCGUAAUAACGUAUCCAAUGCAUUAUCCCAUUAGAGUUUAUAACUACGUUUCAAGGGGGUGAGUGUAAUUAUCGAUACUAUAGGGACAUUAAAGUUAUUUAAGCAUACCUCAGGGGUGUGGGUGUAAUUUACCCUAAUAAUAAUAAUAAAGUAUAAACAACUCUCUCUUUCUCUCCUUUCAAUACUCUCUCUCUCUCUCUCUCUCCUGUUUCUCUCUCUUCCACACAAUACACACAGGUACCAACACACACUGAAUUGAAAGACUUACACGCACUCAUUCAUCACCUAAUGUAGGAAAUCACGACCCUUAAUUCAUCGAUUAUUGGAAGGUUUGGAUUUUGCUUUUACAAUAAUUGCCAUCAACUGUAUUUCUCUACUGUGCUGUACUAAUACAUUUUGUGAUUAAAUUCAUUACUAAUCUCAAUUGCACGCCGUUUGUUGAAUUUUAGGUUACUUUUUUUUUUUCUCUCUCUUUCGAGAAAGGGUUGGUUUCUGCAAAAUGAGCAAAGAAAAAGUGAGGUCACCUGAGCCUCUUGAUUUCUUCAUUUGGACUGUUGAGGUAGUAAAGCUUUCAUUUUUCUUUUUAAUUCUUCAAUUCGUUUUGUUUGAUCUUGUUUUUUAAAUUUUAAUUCUUUGGAUCUUGUAAUUUUUUUGUAAUUCUUUGUGUAUUUAUUUUAUUUUAUUUGAUUAUUUACCUGUUCCAGUUGAUCAAAUUCUUGCUGCUUGCUUGGUUAGUGUUGAUUUUGGGGGUGGGGGUGUUGAAAUAAUCAUGAAAAUAUAUUUUUUUUAAUUGAAGUUUUUGUGUUUAGUCAAUUUAUGGUGUACUGAUUAUUUUAUAAUGUUUUGGUGAUUUUUAGUUUGAAUCUUGACUCUUGUUUCUAAUGAAUGUGCAAAAAAUUGGGUUUGAAAACUGAAUUGUAAAAUGAGUUGGUUAAACUAGCAUUUGAUCCAUGUUAAUUAUAGAGCUAUAUAAACAAAUUACUCUGCUAAGAAAUAAAAUAUGCUUCGUGUUCGUUUGAAGGACCUGAAAAAGAAAAAUAGAAGACAGGGUAAGAGAAUAAUUGUUUAAUGGAAGUAUUUCUCGAUCAAUUUUUCGUUUUUUUGGAUUUAUUUGUUCAUAGGAUGUUGGCCUGUGGUUGGAAGAGAUAAAUCUCGGAAGUUAUCGACAAAUUUUCAAGGAAAAUAGGGUUAAUGGAGAGUAUUUGGAAGGGAUGUCGAUGUUUACGACUGAACAGAUACUUCGGUUCAUAAGGAAGUGCCACAUGAAAUGGGGUGAUUUCAUAACUUUGUGCAAGGAGCUCAGACGAAUAAAAGGUCCCUUUCGCCCUCUCUUCUUACCCUUCUUCCUCUUUAUAUCUGUCUUAACCGUGUAAAAUAUCGUCCGAUCACAUCUUAAACUGCAUCAGUUGCUCGUGAUUAAGUUAAUGGUCCCUCGAUGUUUAUGGUAUUUCUAGUUGAAUCUCUAAUUUGUCAGUUCAAAAGACAUAGUGCCUGUUUGUUUUCUUAAUUGCAAACGUGAUGGAUGAUCAUUACUACAUAAUGAGUUGUAGGAUUUAUAUGUUUAGUGUAUAGACUGAAACUUGAUUAUUGUAUUGUUUUUGUUAUUUAUUCUUUGAUUUCAAAUGCGGAUCGAAGAAAAAGCCAAAAAAAUUAUGACAUCCUCCUUAACUCAUCCACUACUUACACCAACUAUUGCACCAAAUAUAAAGACCAACCCCAGCAUCUAUGGAGAUGAUAUACCAAAAGUCAAUACGCAAAUGUCUAUAUUGCCCUCACCAGCCACAUGACCGAUAAUUUCAAAAAAAAAAAAGAAAAAAAAGAUUAUAUUUAUAGACAUAGCAGUUCAUUAUGGGGAUCUCUCCUGUUAUACACUUAUACUAUUCUGCCUAAUUUGUUUGUGAAAAAUAUCAUCUGAUUUUAUCGUUCUGAUGUUCUUGAAGCUCGUGCUCUUGGUCUUAAUUACAUCAACUAUUUCUGAAAAUUCAGCACAUAUAACAUAGGACCGUCUCUAUUAACAUGGAAUUGCAUAUUUUUUACUGAAUGAUUAUAAUCAUGCAUCAGUGGCUUGCUUGAAAGGGGAGCAAAAGGUACGCAGGCCUUGGUGGGCUUCGUCUUGUCUAUCACUUGUAUUCGUCAAGGCUGAGAAACGCAACAGGCAAUCUCGAGUUGUUUCGUUGAAGCUCGAACCUUGAUCUUGGUUUUCAUGUAUGUAUAUGGGAUGUGUACUUUUCUUAAUUUUUAAUUUCAUGUUCAAGUCUAGAUAUAGGAAAGCUAUACGUAUUUCCUUUUUUUUUUUUUUUUUUUUAUGUCUUAAGUUUUGCUAAGAAAAGUCGGUUCUUCUUCGGAGAACCUUCCCCUUUGUCUCGAGUUCUUCGAGAUCAGGAGAUACUAUUACAGUUUACUUAUGUUUGGGAUUUGUUGAGGGAAAACAUUAUAUAUAAGACAACAUGUUUGGUUCUUGUAUGUUUUAAGUGUCGGAUGUUAUUGUUGUUGAUGUCCGUGGGUGAAUCAGAAACAUCCUCGACGAAAACUUCGAAAUGGAUUUUCAAGUAUUUGUUAAAAUUGUUACAAAAUCGUUAUUUUUACGCCAAAAAACACAUUGUGCUUGUAAAAUCUAGACGUCUAAGGUCACAUUCGGGAUUUCGUAGCUCGGAUGUGUCGUUAGACAUCCAAUUUUUUUCUUUCAAUGUAUAGUCACGAAUUUAUCAAAAUUUAUUUUAGGAUGAACCCCAAAAAAAAAAAAAAAAAGUAAAAACAAAGUCUACAUUAAGGAAUUAAUGUAUUAUAUAUAUAUAUAUAUAAAUGAUUAAAUGUAUAAAUAUAUGGGUAAAUUCCACUUUACUCUCUCGUACUCUGCAUGAGAGUCACUUUACCCCCUCGUACUCUCAAUUUUAUCGAUUUACCUCCUUGUACUCGUACAAUUUCCCAAUACAACCCUUUCCUUCAAUUUUUGCCAAUUUAGACUCUAACGCCAUUUGGUCAACUCUGUAAAUUACAAAAUUGCCACUGCCUAUAAUGCGUCGUUUCUCCUCCGUCAAUAUUGUCAUUUCUUCUUCUCCCACCACUUCCUCUUCCAAGAUAUCCCCAAAUUGAACCCCUAACUUAGUAAAAAUCAAGACCCAAAAAUUGAUCAAUUCCACCCAGUGCAAAGAAAAAAAUAUAUGAAUGUGCGAAACUUUCUCUUUUCUAAUCUCGAGAGUCAAAAUCGAAAAAAUUCAAUAUUUACGUCAAUAUUUUGACUCUUGACCAAAUGGCGUCAGAGUCAAAAUCGAAAAAAGUUGAUGAAGAGGGUUGUAUUGGGAAAUUGUACAAGUACAAGGGGGUAAAUCGACGAAAUUAAGAGUACGAGGGGGUAAAGUGGUUCUUGGGCAGAGUACAAGGGGGUAAAGUGGAAUUUACCCUAAAUAUAUAGAACAAAAAUCAACAAAUGGUUUUAUAAUUAUAGAGAUGCAAACUUCAAAUACCAAGUUGUACUUUGGGUAAAACUUGUUCAAAAUUCAAAUGAAACUAUGAAUUGUUGCUAUGUUGGAGGAACUCUAUUUUAAAAAUUAAAAUUUACAGAAAUACCCUCCACCAUUACCAAAAUUCAAAAAAUGACUGACAAAAAAACAGAAAAUAGAACGAGCUUCUCCUCUGAAACAAAACCCUAAACCCCAUAACCAGAAGCAGUGAAGACGAUUGAUUCGAACAUUAGCAGCUAUGUUCUCUCCCCCCACUAAAAAGUCCAGCUUAACUUCACGCAAAAAUGUCGCUAACCGAAGUGAUGAUAUUUCCACCCCGCUCGCCGACAAUCGACGACAACUGCUCGACAGUCCCGCCGUCCCCAAUCGCCCCACCACCGGAACCCCUGCCCCUUGGUCUUCGCGCCUUUCCGUCCUCGCCAGGUAUUAUCAAAUGCAUAUGCGCCUAAUCACUUCUCUCUCUCUCUCUCUCUCUCUCUCUCGUUCAUAUGUUGAGAUUAGCUCUGGGAGAACAGAUAUACGUUUUAAUUUGGACAUUUGUGCUCUGUUGCUUGUUUCAUGAUUUUGUCAUUUCCAUUGCAAGUGAUAGUGGCAAUAGGGUUUACGCAUAUCAAUUAUAAUUUUUUUUUGUAUGUAGGUAUCCUGAAAAUUACGAGGAGUUGACAGGAGAAUCGUGAUUUAUAUGUUAUACUUUAUGCUCUAGUCUCUCNNNNNNNNNNNNNNNNNNNNNNNNNNNNNNNNNNNNNNNNNNNNNNNNNNNNNNNNNNNNNNNNNNNNNNNNNNNNNNNNNNNNNNNNNNNNNNNNNNNNGUUCGGAGAGACUAGAGCAAUAGGUCACAAAUUUCGUUAUUACUUGGCCUUCUGAAUCUGCUUUUCUGGAUAUUCUACCACAAAUUUCUAAUGCAAAUUUGUUACAGUAAUAACCUUCCUAAAUCCUUCCAGGGGAUGUUGGUUGUCUGUUUGGAUGCUAUUGUAUCAUCCUUUAAUUUUGUUGAUUUUGUUGAGAAUGCAUGGUAGAUUGUAGAUGUGGAAACAUGAAAAAAGAUAAGGAAAGACUGUGUCAUGCCUUUGUUUGAUUUGACGUUGGCUUGUCUUUUCAGAAUCACACCUGCAAAGAGAAGUGACAGAGGAGAUGAGGUAGAUGCUGUUCAGCCUGUAUAUGUUGGGGAGUUCCCUCAAAUAGUACGUGAAGCGCAAAUCACGCUAUCACAAAAUCGUGUUUCUGGUUGGUCCAACUUAUUCCCAAAAUACAUAAUAUGGUUAGAUUUGUUUCAAUUUCUUUCUAAAGAUUUUAAUAUUAGUCCAUCUGGCAGCUGAUACAUCUAUCUCUGGUGGAAUGGACAAGGUAACAUCUCUAGCGUGGAUUAUCUGUGGAAACAGGGUCUUUGUCUGGAAUUACUUAUUACCUGCUGCUUCAAGAAAAUGUAUUGUCCUUGACCUUAAUUCUUGCAUAUCAGAAAGUGGAGACACGGACAAAAGUUCGUAUCAAACUAACAAUUGGUUAGUCUGUAUUGUUAACUGGGACACCUCAAAGAAAACUGGUAUCAGUGUUGCUCAACAGACCAAUUCUGCAGGGAUUGUUAUGUGUAACAGAAAAACUCGCUCUCUAAUUUUCUGGCCAGAUAUACAUAAUGCUAACAGGGUCCCUCCAGUCACUUCGGCUGCUUUUUCGGAGGUAGAAGUGAUUUAUCCACGACAAAAUGGAAAAUCCAUCUCAAGCAAGCAGAGGCAAAUUGGCAACAAUGGUGCAAAAUCUUGUUUUGUCAACUCUUUGAUUGCCUCAGCAAUUCCUGCUGCCACCAACAGUUGUGUUGCUAUUGCAUGUUGUUCGAAUGGUAUGCUUUGGAGAUUUCUCUGCCGCCCUUCUGGUAUUCAUUGUGACCAGAUUGAGCAUGGCAUGUCAAAUAUAUUUUAUCAAGGAAGUGAUAAUAGCACACUUGUGGCAAGCAAGGGUUAUCCAAGGUCAUUGAUCUGGCACUCUUUUAGUCAUUCAUCAUCGGACACCACGAGACAGUUCCUUCUACUAACUAAUCACGAGAUACAGUGCUUUGAAGUAAUUUUUUUUUCUGAAUUUGACGUGUCAAAGCUUUGGUCACAUGAAAUUGUUGGCACCGACGGUGAUUUGGGUAUUCAGAAGGAUCUUGCUGGACAAAAGAGAAUUUGGCCUCUUGAUUUGGAUGUUGAUUGUGAUGGCAAGGUUAUAACUAUUCUUAUUGCUAUCUUUUGCAAGGAUCGGGGGGUCACCAGUUCAAGCUACACUGAAUACUCUCUGCUGACCAUGCAAUAUAAAUCUGGAGUAGAUAUUGCGAAGCCAAUAGGUGAAAACAUAUUGGAGAAAAAGGCUCCUAUCCAAGUGAUUAUACCUAAAGCUAGAGUAGAGGAUGAAGAUGUUUUAUUCUCAAUGAGAUUAAAGGUAGGUGGAAAGCCAGCUGGCUCUGCUAUGAUUCUCUCAGGUGAUGGUACUGCAACUGUUUCCCACUAUUGGAGAAACUCCACCAGACUCCAUCAGUUUGAUCUGCCUUAUGAUGCUGGAAAAGUUCUUGAUGCUUCAGUAUUCCCAUCGGCAGACGACAGUGAAGAUGGAGCUUGGGUUGUACUCACAGAGAAAGCUGGAGUUUGGGCUAUACCUGAGAGGGCUGUCUUAAUGGGUGGAGUUGAACCACCUGAAAGAAGCUUGUCUCGUAAAGGGAGUUCUAAUGAUGGACCUUUACAGGACGAGAGAAGAAACUUCUCUGGUGCCGGAAACAUUGCUCCAAGAAGAGCCAAUUCAGAAGCUUGGGAUGCAGGAGAUAGGCAAAGGACGAGCAUGGCUGGAGUUGUGCGUAGAAGCCCUCAAGAUGAAGAAUCAGAAGCUUUACUGAGUCAGCUUUUCCAUGAUUUUCUCUUGUCUGGGAAGGUUGAUGGCGCACUUGACAAACUUAGAAAUUCAAGAGCAUUUGAAAGAGAGGGCGAAACAAAUGUAUUUACCAGGACAAGCAAAUCAAUUGUUGACACUUUAGCUAAACAUUGGACAACAACCAGGGGCCCUGAGAUUGCUUUGUCUGUUGUGUCCACACAACUUGCAGAGAAGCAACAGAAGCAUCAAAAGUUCCUUCAGUUCCUUGCUUUGUCCAAAUGCCAUGAGGAAUUGUGUUCCCACCAGAGUAUGUCAAUUGUUUCCAAUAUAUUUAGUUUCUGGCUAUCCUUCCAUGAUGUUAUUUUAUUAUGAAUAUCUGGUUACUUUGUUCUGAUAUUAUUAAUCUACAGAAUCUUAAGGAUGCUUGCAUUUAUAAGGUGGUACUUAAUAUGUUCUAAUUUUCAUGCCCAAAACAGUCAGAUUUUUUUCUCAGUUUGUUUAACCAUUGACCUGUCACUGACUUGAUGAAGUAGCUAAAAUAAUCCGUAUUGUGUAUAUGCACUAGACUUCUGAUUGUCCAUAAAUGCUGCUGUUUUAAACGUUUCUCCACAUUUGCUGAUUAAUUAUAAACCUACUAUCAAAUCUAAAUAAUUGUUUACUGACCAGGGCAAUCUAUGCAAAUUAUCAUGGAACAUGGGGAAAGGCUUGCCGGCAUGAUCCAACUGAGAGAACUGCAAAACACGAUUAGUCAUGCCAAUGCAUCCGGAUCUGGCUCUUAUCAUGCGUCAGAUGCUCGAACUUCAGGAGCUCUUUGGGAUCUUAUCCAGUUAGUCGGUGAGAGAGCUCGCCGGAACACAGUUCUUUUGAUGGAUAGGGAUAACUCUGAAGUAUUUUAUAGUAAAGUUUCCGACAUUGAGGAAGUAUUCCAUUGCUUAGAGAGACAGCUUGAAUAUGUCAUCAGUAUAGAUAUGCCGAUUCUUGUUCAAUUUCAAAGUUCUUGUGAACUCUCAGAUGCUUGUGUGACGUUAUUCCGUGCAGCCAUCGAAUAUAGGAGUGAGCAUCAUUUGUGGUAUCCUCCACCCGAGGGCUUGAUACCAUGGUACUCCAAAAACAUUGUGUGGAGUGGGCUCUGGACUCUGGCGUCAUUCAUGGUUCAGUUGCUCAAUGAAACAAAUCGCCUUGAUGAUUCUGCAAGGGUUGAUUUUUAUUCGAAUCUUGAAGUCCUCUCGGAAGUAUUACUUGAGUCGUAUUCUACUGCUAUCACAGCAAAAAUUGAACGAAAGGAAGAACACAGGACUCUAUUAGAGGAAUACUGGAACCGCAGAGAUGUCCUUCUUGACUCCCUUUAUCAACAAGUGAAAUCUUUUGUCCAAUCAAAACUCCAGGUUGGUUUUUUUUCUUUUUUUUUUUUUUUAAUAAUUAAAUUCCCUGGUAGAAGCUUCGUACGAGGUUCGGAAAUAGCAAGAAUAGUUGAACCUUUUCGUACCAUAUGAUCCUCUUCCAUCUUGAUGAUUUUAUGUAUUACUUUCCAAUCCAUGUCCCAUCUUAAGUAUACAGUGGAACUGCCAAUGUAGUUUUAGAUUAUAAUUAAAAAAGGGAAUGUCUUUAAUAUGUUUACGACUUAACUUUAUUGCUCUAAAAAAUAUUGUCAUAUAUGUUGUUAGAGAGUCAACACUCCACAUCAUUACUAUCAGUGAGAUGGUGUUUUAGGAAAUAGACCAUUAAUUUGGAAGUCCAACCUUGGUGCAUUCUUUUGCUACACCAUCUAAUGUUUAUAGUUGCCCAAUAUAUAGUUGUUUAUUGAAACAUUAAAGUUUAAGUUGAAAUGUAAAUAUAUAAUAGCUAGUGCAUGGAUGAAAGUACUAUGUAUAGUUCACUUUGGAAAACGAAAAUCUAGAAAUAGGCCACUUCCCAACAUUAACUAUACAUCUUUGUAAACAUUGUUGCUUGAAGGGAAGAAAUAUAUACUCUUCGAUAUGGAGGAAUAUAUGUGGAUCACAUCCAUAAUACAUUCGUAAUGUUGCAGGAUUCAGCUGUGGAAAACGAAGAACAGAACAAGGAUACUCUCAUGAAACUUUCUUCAAAGCUAUUAUCUAUUGCAAAGCGUCACGAGGGGUAUCAAACUAUGUGGAGCAUUUGCUGUGACCUGAAUCAUUCUGAACUCCUUCAAAGUCUCAUGGUAUGACUAAAUACUAUUAAGUUACCGUUAGUGCAACCCCACUGCUUACAGAGGCAAAGGCUUGGGCCUACUUGUUGUGGAUGCUGUUUCGUUUACUUUACAAAAAUAUAUGUAUAUAUAUUUUUUGUCAUUAGUAUUCCAGAGUUGUGAUGGGUCAUUUUGCACGUAAUGUUCUAAUUGCUCAAUCUUCUGUGCACCUUAUUUUUUUUACUCAAAAUAAAACCUUUUGUUUUGUAGCAAGAAAGUAUGGGUCCUAGAGGAGGUUUCAGUUGCUUUGUCUUCAAACAACUCUACGAAAGCAAACAGUUUUCGAAGCUUAUAAGGCUGGGCGAGGAGUUCCAGGCUGAGCUAGCUACAUUUCUGAAGCAGCAUCCAGAUCUUCUCUGGCUUCAUGAAGUGUUUCUUCAUCAAUUUUCCUCAGCUUCCGAAACUUUACAUGCAUUAUCUCUUUCUAAGGAUGAUGCAUCAAUUUCAACUAUUGACGAUACUGAAUCUAGCAGCUCGGGGCGUCAAUUAACUUUGGCGAACAGAAAGCAUUUUCUGAAUUUAGCAAAAAUAUCUGCAAUGGCAGGUAUUUUGCCCACCUGUAGUAUAUCCUUUUUCUGCCUUAGUGUCUCAUGUUAGAAAAUAUGUUUUUUGCAAACUAUACAUGCUUGUCUGUGAGUAGUAUGAUGAGAUAUUGAAUCUAAGUGGUCCCCCUUUCCACUUAUUGCUGCCAAGAAUGUGGUGUUCACAGCUACAAAUACCGUCUAAAUGCAUUUUUCUCAAAUAUCUUGCUGGGCGAUGACCAAGAAUUUAAUGAAAAAAAACUCUGUAUAAAUUUCUGACAAUAAAAAAGUACAUGCACUGAUUCAAUUAGAGAUAAAACAUAUAUAAAAUGGGAUAAAUACAAUUUAUUCAACCAUGCAGAAAGGAACAUGAUCAAAGUGUGACAGAAUAGUUUUUAGUAAUUGUGAUUGCUGGGCUAGUAAUUUCACGAUUGCAGAUGUAUGACUUAGUAGAGCAUGUGAGACAGAUCUAUUUUCACCUGAAUAGUGAUGUCAAUAUGUGAAAAUUUUCAGGAAGAAAGGAUGCGUACGAGCUAAAGAUGCAACGGAUCGAAGCAGAUCUGAACAUUUUACAGCUACAGGUAUGCUAAUGUACCAAAUUUUUAAUUGAUUGAAUCCUUUCUGAGGCUCGGAAACCCUUGGGAAUUCCUUAUUAUGCAGUUAAUCUGCAUAAAAAAAAUCAGCGGUCGGAUUCUUGGGAGUGUAUUCUCUAAAUUAUUUUCCAUAUUAAAUUUUUAAUUUACACUGGCUAAUUGACUAAGGCAGGGAUGUUUGAAUUUUCUCCCUCUAUUAUAAUUACGAAGAGUUCAAGUCUUUUCAGUUUGCACAUUUGUGUUAUACACGAAACAGCCUGUAAAUGUUGUUCUGUUGGAGCACGUUUUGUUGUUUUGAGGAAGGAUCGAUCAUAUUUGUGUUUAUCAGAUUUAUUCUGAUAUGAAAAUUAGUAAUUAAAAUUUUGGACAAAUAAAAAGUGGAUAUUCGAAGAUUUCGUAAUUCUAAAACUUAGCGGAAUGGACAAAUAUCUUUGUAUUUCGGAAAAAACUCUGGAACAUUUUGGAACGUAGGAUAUCCCUGCAAAGCUUCAUCAGAGAUCUGGUUUUCCUUCGAGUUGCAAGGGUGCAAAUGUAAUUAAGGUUUUAUUUCGGCUGAUGAAUGUAUGUUUUUGGCUUCUAUACUGGUGACUAGUGAGUUUGUUCUGUGAAAUUCUCAAAACACCAAUUGUUACUAUUAGUGAACUUUAGACUCCGAGCACUUGAAUUCAUCCAAGUUUAAAUCUAGCUGGAGAUUUGAUCAAAGCCUUAUCAUCGCUUCUCAACGUGACAUAUUCAUCUGUCCUUUAUUAUCACUCCAUUUGUUCUCUUUAUAGUUUAUGCUUACAAAUGGACAUUUGAAAAUUGAGAUUUGUAUUUAAAUGCAGGCCCUGGCCUGGAGAUUAAAAUCCUUAAAUAGCACAAUUUCGCUUUUUUCAGAAUUACAAGAACUUUCAUUCAGACUAACUUCCGUGUCUUACAGGAAGAAAUAUUGAGGCAAACACCAGAUAACGAGGAAAAACAAUCAAUUGAAGAGAAGCUUCUUCCUCCAAUUGACCUCAUCGAAUUGUGUCUCAAAAUCCAAACACGGGAUCUUUCAUUACGAGCCUUUGAUCUUUUCUCAUGGACCAGUGCCUCCUUUCUUAGAAGCAAUACGAACCUAUUGGAAGAAUGCUGGAGGAACGCUGCAAAUCAAGAUGAUUGGGAAAAACUGUACCAAAUGUCUAUGACCGAGGGAUGGAGCGACGAGACGACUGUGGACAUUCUUAAGGAAACAAUACUUUUUCAAGCCUCCAGCAAGUGUUAUGGGCCAGUGGCAGAAAAUCUUGAUGUUAAAUUCGAACAAGUUCUUCCACUGAGCCAAGAAAGUACCGAACACUCUGUAGAAGCUGUUCUCAGACAGCACAAAGAUUUCCCAGAUGCAGGGAAACUGAUGGUGAUGGCGAUUAUGCAUGGCAGUUUUUCGGUGGGUCCCACUGGAACGGACUACGAAGAUGAUUAUCCCAUGGAGUGAAAUAAUUGUUAUAAGGUAUGGGUUUAUUUGACUUGUGUAGUAUUUUCAAGAGUCUCUUUAAUUGCGAGGGGGUGUAGUAUUUUCUGGAAUUCUCGAACUCUGGAAUUUUGAAGUGGAUAUACGAGAUUGAUUAGAUUAAAAACAUGAUCAUGGUAAAAAAAGGCUCAACGAAACGGAAAGAGCAAUUCUCAUGUUCUUGAUUGUAGCUGUCAAAAUUGCUGUUGCUGGGUACUAGAUGUGUAAGCUUGUAUGGAUAGCAUGAAACGGAAAACAAUUUUUAAUAUGUCGUUUAAGUCGAAGUUUCUGUACCUGAGAAAUGCUAUACUGCAUCGAGAUACAAGUUGUAUGAUAGAUAUAUUUAUUCUCUAACCAACUGUAAGUAGGAGAAUUGGUAUUAUCUAAUACUGAGUAUUAUGUGUGACAUCUUGUUAUUUACUUUGCCGGGUGAAAUUUUGUAAGCCAAAAGGCGAAUAAUUCAUCAACCGUAAACGUGCAGAAAUUAGUUACCUAAAAGAGGAUUUUGUGCACAAAUUGAUGAUAAUUUGUCAGUGGUAAGUUAUGUGUAUUAAUAUUUAUAAAUCAUAAUGAAUAAACAGUCCAACCAACCAUAGUUAAAAUUUAAAACAUAGAUUGAUAUUAUGAAUGACACACAAUCUUUGAUCCAAUAUUGAUAUUGACAAUUAUAUAAAUAAAUAAAUAUUCAUAAGUCCCAUAUAAAAAGAAAAUAAGCAGAAUAGGAUUUCCCAUAUUUUUCAGUGGAAUUAAAUUAAAUGUGUGCUUGUGGAAUGUGUUGUGCCAUUGUGUGUGUGACUGUGUUUUUCGUGCACCAAGUGACAUGGCACUUUAAUUGGCUGAGAAUGGAUUACAUUUAGCAACAAAACUCCAAAUCAGAAUUCCCAAUGCCACAUGGCCAAAUGAAGACCUAGACUUCUCUUUAAACAAAAAUCUGGAGGGAAAUCUUGAUCCACCAAAACCAACCAAUCAGCUAAUGCUGACGUGUAGAUAUUGCAAUCCACAACAUAAUCCCAACUUCUAUUUAUACCCUCUUUGCACCACCCUUAUUCCUCACCACCAUCGAGCACAACAAACAAAAUCAAUUAGCAACAAAAAGAAAAAAAAAAACAAAAAAAAAAAAUGGCAACUUCAGCAAUUCAACAAUCUGCAUUCAGUGGGAAGACUGCUUUGAAGCCACAAAAUGAGCUGAUCAGGAAGAUCGGCAACGUCGGCGGCGGCCGCUUCACCAUGAGACGUACCGUCAAGAGCGCCCCUCAGAGCAUAUGGUAUAAUUUCCGCAAUUCGGUAAAUUUAUUAUUAAUUAAUUAUAUAUCUCAAUUUAUCGAAAAUAGGUACAGUUUCAAAAAUAUGGUUUGAUUUAGUGUAACAUGUAAAAUUUAUGUGUUUCAUCUAAUAAUAAUAAUGUGUAAUUUACUAUAAUUUUUAUUAUAUAUCUUGAUGAUUUAGGUACGGAGAAGACAGGCCCAAGUACUUGGGCCCAUUCUCCGAGCAGACCCCAUCGUACCUCACCGGUGAAUUCCCCGGUGACUACGGAUGGGACACUGCUGGGCUCUCGGCAGAUCCCGAGACAUUCGCCAAGAACCGUGAGCUGGAGGUGAUCCACAGUAGGUGGGCCAUGCUCGGCGCUCUGGGAUGCGUCUUCCCAGAGGUUCUAUCAAAGAACGGUGUCAAAUUUGGAGAGGCAGUGUGGUUCAAGGCCGGGUCACAGAUCUUCUCCGAAGGUGGGCUCGACUAUUUGGGAAACCCUAACCUCGUCCACGCACAGAGCAUUUUGGCCAUAUGGGCCACCCAAGUUGUGCUAAUGGGCUUUGUUGAGGGUUACAGAGUUGGAGGGGGCCCACUAGGAGAGGGGCUCGACAAGGUGUACCCGGGCGGGUCUUUUGACCCGUUGGGUCUAGCCGAGGACCCGGAAGCCUUUGCUGAGUUGAAGGUUAAGGAACUCAAGAACGGGAGAUUGGCUAUGUUUUCCAUGUUUGGGUUCUUUGUCCAAGCGAUUGUCACCGGAAAGGGUCCGAUUGAGAACCUUUUUGACCAUCUUGCCGACCCCGUUGCAAACAAUGCUUGGGCCUUCGCCACUAACUUUGUGCCCGGAAAAUGAGAGUGAACACAAGAUUUGCUUUUGAUGAAGUUGUAAAGUGUGGGAUUUAAUUUGCUUUUGAUGUAAUAGUGGAAUGGUUGGACUUUCAAUUUAAUGUAUAUUUGGCAUCUUUUUUCCUUACAUCUUGUUGCACGGUUUAUUCUAUGCUACACCGGGUAGAUCUUUAGCAUUUAUAAGCACACAAACACACACACACAUCUAUAUUGGUGUGUGUAGAUCAACGGUAAAAAAUCACCCGAACCUUCAUCAGGUGUAGCAUAGAAAUAACCCUUGCUACACUAGAUGGAACUGCAUUCUUUUUGCAUGCCAUACUAUAGUAGGAAACUAAAUCUUUAAGGGAUAACCAACUUCAAAUGGAACGAGUGAAACCGAUUUGUAGGAAGGCCAACCGAGUGAAGCUCUUUUUUAUGGCCGUGCGGUGAAGUGAAAUUGUAUUGUAUGUUAGUUAGAGAGGUUGACGAACUACUACGAUCUAUAGAUUCCCCAUCUAUAUCCAAUCCCAACGAGAAUAGAAGCCGGGUCGCUUCCGGAACUUGGCAGACUUGUGCUUCAAAUCCAGAAACACUUUCUUAUAGAUUGCAUUCUCAAUCUCAUAUGUACUCAUGUUUACAAGGUUACAUUUGAUUUAAGCAUGAAUGUUGGAUUAGCAUUUAAGAUUUCAAUUACAUCAUUUCUUUAAAUGCUUUAUGAAUUAUAAACAAAUAAAAUUUUCAUGUAAAAAGAGAAAAAAAUGAUAGGUCGAGCAUAUUUCACAAGACAAAUAAUAAAAUUAUUUAUAAUUUUAUUCUUUAUGUCGAUAAAAAAAAUAUAUGAAAUAUGAUAAUCAUAAAAUUUUUAAGUGAUUAUUCUAUUUUUAAACUCAUUGUCUUCGUAUAAUCUCCGGGUGCAUGUGUUUGAUCUACGAGUGGAAAUCGUGCGGAUCAAAAUUGAAUCGGCAUUACCAAUCUUUGCAAAUUCCAUUUGUUUGGAAGUGAAAACUAAUUCAAUUAUGGUCCCAAAAAAUGGAAGGAAAAAAAUAUCGGAAUUUUAGAAAUUAGAAUGAAAAAACUCAUUCGACUUUUAAUAUUAUAUUGAAAAUUGGCCGAAUUUGAAGUAAAUUAAAAUUGGAUCGAGAAUCGAAAUCUCAUACAUAUAUAUAUAUAUAUAUAUAUAUAUAUAUAUAUAUAUAUAUAUAUAUAUAUAUAUAUAUAUAUAUAUAUAUAUAUAUAUAUAUAUAUAUAUAUAUAUAUAUAUAUAUAUAUAUAUAUAUAUAUAUAUAUAUAUAUAUAUAUAUAUAUAUAUAUAUAUAUAUAUAUAUAUAUAUAUAUAUAUAUAUAUAUAUAUAUAUAUAUAUAUAUAUAUAUAUCCGCCCCAGUGUGUGAGUGUCUAUGUGUAUAUCUCUCACACACACACACUAAUAUUUUUAAGAUAUCAUUUUUUUGAGAAAAAUCUUUAUUUAUAAGAAUUAUUGUCUAUCACUCUAGAGAUUAUAUAUGAGUGUGACAAACUCUCUAUAUGCCUCAUUCUAAAUAAAAUAGCGAGAUGUGCUGGUUGUGAGAGACACACUCGCUCGCACACUCAGGGGCAACAAUAUACAUAUAUGUGUGGGGAGAUAGUGACUCACGCGCACACACCCAUAGACGCUCAACUCUAUUUUUCACNNNNNNNNNNNNNNNNNNNNNNNNNNNNNNNNNNNNNNNNNNNNNNNNNNNNNNNNNNNNNNNNNNNNNNNNNNNNNNNNNNNNNNNNNNNNNNNNNNNNNNNNNNNNNNNNNNNNNNNNNNNNNNNNNNNNNNNNNNNNNNNNNNNNNNNNNNNNNNNNNNNNNNNNNNNNNNNNNNNNNNNNNNNNNNNNNNNNNNNNNNNNNNNNNNNNNNNNNNNNNNNNNNNNNNNNNNNNNNNNNNNNNNNNNNNNNNNNNNNNNNNNNNNNNNNNNNNNNNNNNNNNNNNNNNNNNNNNNNNNNNNNNNNNNNNNNNNNNNNNNNNNNNNNNNNNNNNNNNNNNNNNNNNNNNNNNNNNNNNNNNNNNNNNNNNNNNNNNNNNNNNNNNNNNNNNNNNNNNNNNNNNNNNNNNNNNNNNNNNNNNNNNNNNNNNNNNNNNNNNNNNNNNNNNNNNNNNNNNNNNNNNNNNNNNNNNNNNNNNNNNNNNNNNNNNNNNNNNNNNNNNNNNNNNNNNNNNNNNNNNNNNNNNNNNNNNNNNNNNNNNNNNNNNNNNNNNNNNNNNNNNNNNNNNNNNNNNNNNNNNNNNNNNNNNNNNNNNNNNNNNNNNNNNNNNNNNNNNNNNNNNNNNNNNNNNNNNNNNNNNNNNNNNNNNNNNNNNNNNNNNNNNNNNNNNNNNNNNNNNNNNNNNNNNNNNNNNNNNNNNNNNNNNNNNNNNNNNNNNNNNNNNNNNNNNNNNNNNNNNNNNNNNNNNNNNNNNNNNNNNNNNNNNNNNNNNNNNNNNNNNNNNNNNNNNNNNNNNNNNNNNNNNNNNNNNNNNNNNNNNNNNNNNNNNNNNNNNNNNNNNNNNNNNNNNNNNNNNNNNNNNNNNNNNNNNNNNNNNNNNNNNNNNNNNNNNNNNNNNNNNNNNNNNNNNNNNNNNNNNNNNNNNNNNNNNNNNNNNNNNNNNNNNNNNNNNNNNNNNNNNNNNNNNNNNNNNNNNNNNNNNNNNNNNNNNNNNNNNNNNNNNNNNNNNNNNNNNNNNNNNNNNNNNNNNNNNNNNNNNNNNNNNNNNNNNNNNNNNNNNNNNNNNNNNNNNNNNNNNNNNNNNNNNNNNNNNNNNNNNNNNNNNNNNNNNNNNNNNNNNNNNNNNNNNNNNNNNNNNNNNNNNNNNNNNNNNNNNNNNNNNNNNNNNNNNNNNNNNNNNNNNNNNNNNNNNNNNNNNNNNNNNNNNNNNNNNNNNNNNNNNNNNNNNNNNNNNNNNNNNNNNNNNNNNNNNNNNNNNNNNNNNNNNNNNNNNNNNNNNNNNNNNNNNNNNNNNNNNNNNNNNNNNNNNNNNNNNNNNNNNNNNNNNNNNNNNNNNNNNNNNNNNNNNNNNNNNNNNNNNNNNNNNNNNNNNNNNNNNNNNNNNNNNNNNNNNNNNNNNNNNNNNNNNNNNNNNNNNNNNNNNNNNNNNNNNNNNNNNNNNNNNNNNNNNNNNNNNNNNNNNNNNNNNNNNNNNNNNNNNNNNNNNNNNNNNNNNNNNNNNNNNNNNNNNNNNNNNNNNNNNNNNNNNNNNNNNNNNNNNNNNNNNNNNNNNNNNNNNNNNNNNNNNNNNNNNNNNNNNNNNNNNNNNNNNNNNNNNNNNNNNNNNNNNNNNNNNNNNNNNNNNNNNNNNNNNNNNNNNNNNNNNNNNNNNNNNNNNNNNNNNNNNNNNNNNNNNNNNNNNNNNNNNNNNNNNNNNNNNNNNNNNNNNNNNNNNNNNNNNNNNNNNNNNNNNNNNNNNNNNNNNNNNNNNNNNNNNNNNNNNNNNNNNNNNNNNNNNNNNNNNNNNNNNNNNNNNNNNNNNNNNNNNNNNNNNNNNNNNNNNNNNNNNNNNNNCAUCACAGCAUUGCUCGAGUAUGGGCGUGUGGAUGAGCCUAUCUCUCUCUUUGCGAGCAUGAGAGAGAAGGGUUUGCAGCCCAAUGCGCAGACAUAUACUGCUCUGAUCACUGGGUUUGGCAAAAAUCGAGCCAACUCGAACUAGCACUAACGGGUUGUACCACAAGAUGGUGAGGGAAGGCUUGGUACCCUUACGACUAUCACGGUAUAAUGCUCUCAUAAAUGAAUUGUGUGAGGGAGGGAAACUAGUUUCUGCUAUCAAGAUAUUUGAUUGGAUGGGGCGGCAUGUUCGCUUGGCUGGGACUGAAACUUUAUAAUGCGAUGAUAAAAGGAUUCUGUUUGAUUGGAAAUGUUGAGAGGGCCAUGAUACUAUAUGAUGAAAUGCUGAAGGUGGGUCCCGCUCCAAAUGUGAUCACAUAUAACACGCUCGUCAAUGGAUAUGCGAAACGCGGUUAUCUAGACAAUGCCAGGAGGUUGAUGGAGGUGAUGAAGGAAAAUGGAUGUAAGCCCGAUCAAGUGACGUACACGGAACUUGUUUCUGGAUAUUGCAAAGGGGAUAAACUUGACGUUGCUUCUGAGUUAUUUCAGGAAAUGAUGCAGCAAGGUUUGACCCCGAAUUUGAUUAACUAUAGCGCUUUGAUCGAUGGUCUAAGCAAGAAAGGGAAAGUUGAUGAUGCGUUGAUUUUGUUUAAAAGGAUGCAAGAGAUUGGUUGCCGUCCAAAUAUUGAAGUUUAUAAUGCUGUUCUUAAUGGGUUUUCUAAAGAAGGUAGGUUAUCCGAAGCAGAGAAACUAUGCAGUAAGAUGGCAGAGUGUGGGCUGCUUCCGAAUGUAAUUACAUACUCGACUUUAAUCGAUGGUCUCUGCAAGAAUGGUGGGAUAGAUCUCGCUCUCAAGAUUUUUCAUGAAAUGGAGAGAAGAAAUUGCUUACCAAACUUGUACACGUAUAGUUCAUUGAUCUACGGCCAGUGUCAGGUAGGCCGGGUUGAUGAUGCAGAGAUAAUGCUCGAAGAAAUGGUGAUUAAAAAAUUAUAUCCUGACGAGGUUACAUAUACCUCGUUGAUUGAUGGAUUAGCUUCCCUAGGUAGACUCGAUAGUGCAUUUUCGCUUCUUCGUCGAAUGAUACAUGCAGGCUGCAAACCAAACUACAGGACCUACUGUGUGUUGUUGAUAGGGAUGCAGAAAAAAAUGGCGGUCCAACAUGAAACUGUUCAUAGUCACACUAUAGAUGCAAAAUGUGUUAUUUUUGAAACCUUUUGCAAUCUGUUAGUUAAGAUGUCUGAGAUGGGCUGUGAACCUUGUACCGAUACAUAUUACAUCUUGAUUGCUGGUCUGUGUCGUGAUGGAAGAAGUUACGAGGCAGAUAAGUUGGUCGAAUUUAUGGAGGAGAAAGGGCUGAGUCCUAACGAGGCAAUAUAUUGCUCUCUCCUCGGUGCUUAUUGCAAGAAUUUGAGAGUAGAUGCUGCUCUAGAUAUACUUAAUUUGCUGACUGUGAGAGGGUUCAAGCCCCCUUUAUCAAUUUACGCAGCUACUAUAUCCGCUCUCUGCAAAAGAGAACGGAUCGAAGAGGCUGAAGUGGUGUUCGAAGACAUGCUUGAGAAACAAUGGAAUGGCGAUGAGAUUGUGUGGACUGUAUUGAUUGAUGGCCUGCUUAAGAAAGGGAAACCGGAAGUGUGCUCGAAACUUCUUCAUGUAAUGAACUCGAAAAGCGUCCCUAUAAGUAAGCAGACAUAUCUGAUGCUAGCAAGGGAGAUGUCCAAAGCUAACAAAUUAGUCGAGGAAAACCGAGUUGAUGAAGAAUUGCAAGUCCUAGGAGACCAAAGACCAGGAUAAGGUCCUGUUUGAGUUACCGAACAGAACAAAUGCAUCCUUAUUCGAUAUUCCUCGUAUUUGCUGAAUCAGAGGCUGGGAUGCCCUUUCUGCGACACCUGUAGAAAGGAUAUCAAGUUAAAACUGCAAUCAAGUAAGUGGUAAGCUGAUUAUGCUAUUCUAUAUACAGUUUAAUUAUGUUUUCUCGUCUUUUUUUUCUUCAUGGUUUGUAUAGCCGAGCCUAUUCGGGAAAGAAAGUUGAUUUGACAAUAAUAAUUAAUUUAAUCUUUUGUUGGUCUUCUACCUACCAUUUGCUUUUGUUUCUGAUUUUUGAUUAUUUAUAAUGUAGAUCAUAUUAUUACUCGCAUAUGGAGCUGCGCAAUUCCUGGGAUCGAUCUCAUGCAUUUGUCGUCGUUCUAGGAUGAGAGAUUUGGCUUAAUGACUGGUCCACUGAUAAUUUCAGGUAAUACUUUGAUCCUUAAUUUUGUAUUAUUAACAUAAGCGUUUGGGGUUUGAACUCGAUUUUAUGGCACUGAAAAGAUAUAAUUGUGUUUUUGAAUAACAGCAUUAGUUGCAAAUACACUCUCCUUUAAAGGCACUUGCGAGUUUAUAGCUGUUUAUAUCGAAGGUCAACAUGGCAAAGUUAAAGCACUAAAAAAGCACUACUCGUUGAGGUUAAAUGAGAUGUUUCAUACCGUUGAUUGAAUUGAUUUCCCUAAUUAGUGAUAACAAUGUGCAUUGUUGUAAUUGUCUGCCAUUAUGAUUUGUGGUUUUUUGGUUGGGAUGUUUUUCGGGACUAGAAAAAACUAAUGCAAAAAUCGACAUUUAUGGUUGCAGUGAUCUGCUGGCAAGUUAUAUCUCGAGUGCGAUUGUGAUUGGAUGCAUGUGCUUUGCCUCCAUUUGUGUAGCCAAUCACUUGCAGGUAAAUACCGAGUACGCUUAUUUUUAGAAGCCUAGUUCUAAUACACUGAGAAAAAUACUCGUGCAUUGCCUAGUUGUGGUUGAUAAUUAACUUCUACAUAAGGCUCUUUCUCGACUAAUAUCUGAAUCAGAUAUCAUGUGUUUCUAUGACCCUUUUUUUUCUUUUUUCGAAUAAGUUGGACCGUGGGACAUUUACAUAAAACUUGUCUGAAAAUUUCCUCUCCAAUCAAAAGGAAUUGUUCGUCACAUGAGUCGGGGCCUUCAUUUUUUUUGUUUUGUUUCUUUUCAUUAGAUAGUAGGCAUAUGUUCUUUCUCCGUUCUUUAAUGGCCUUUACUUGUUACUUUCUUGAAUCCAACCUCGGUUCUCAUGGAAUUUUGAUUUCGACCUUUUUCUUAUCCAGAUUCUUAUUAUACAGCUGGAAAUAUACGGCAUCAGAGACGUCUCGAGUUGUUCAAGAAUGCAAGUUGGGACCCGUCGACACAAUUUGCUGAAUGUGAAAAUUUUGAUUGGUGCGUUUCUUGGACAGCAAUACUUGACAAAAUUAACACGAAAAAAGAGAUCCCUUAUUGGGAAUUAAAUUAAUCAAUCAAGAUCUAUUUAUUUUCUGGCGAUCCUCCGUUUUUUAUUUUAUACACAGCAGCCUUGUAAUUGUAAUGCUUAAAUUAGGCUUAGCUUGUAAAAUACUUCAUCAUUCUUUCUUGAAUUAAUACAGACCAUUUUUCAGUAUAAGGAUGAUUGCUUAUAUUUUGUAUUACUUCAACAAACUCAAUGGCUACUAAAAUUUGACAAUGGGAAUCAAAUUCAAUAAUCUAUAUUAGUUUUAUUUAAAAAAUAAUCGAAUUGUCAUCGUUUGGCAGCCAACGCAAAGAAAAGAAACAAACACAAGAAAACAACGAACCAUCCAUUAGACAACAAAAGUGGAACCAUCCAUCGAAGUACAAUCGGAGUGCUCAAAACAAACCGACGCUCACAUCAUCCCAACCAACCUUAUAUUCCACCAAACACAUCCUUACAAUCACUAUGUCCAUUCCCAUUUGGCCUUAUUCCAAUUCUUUUUUAUUUUAAGAAAUUAAAAAUUUAAUCUUUUAGCCUUUUUCCUUCAACAUUUAGCUAUUCAAUGAAACUCCUUUUGCCUUCGCACACUCAAAUCAGCCUCCCUUAAUAUUAUUUACGUUACCCUCUCCAACAUUUUCCUCUUGGUUUUUGCUGCAUGAUCGCCCGAUUCUUCUCUCUCCUCCGUCAUCCAAGAAUCGUUUGGUAGGCUGAUCCAUAUGAAGCCGUUCGAUAACUCUACAAACUCGUGGCAAAAACAAUAACAUUCUUCCAAUCUCUCUCUCUCUCUCUCUCUCUCUCUCUCUCUCUCUCUCUCUAUAUAUAUAUAUAUAUAUAUAUAUAUAUAUAUAUAUAUACACACACACACACACACACACACACACACACACACAACACUCCAAGGAAAAAAAUACAAAUUAGUUGAAGCCUCUCUACUUUAGUUUCCUGCAAAUCUUGAUAUAUAUAUAUCAGCACACACAAAACACUCUAGUUGAUCAAUAUUAUUACAAGUUGAAAAAAACGAGAACGAUAAUGGGAAGGCAAAACAAGGAUCAUGCAGUAGUUGGAUCAUCGAUCGCACUAUUGCAAGAGAGAUUUAAGCAGCUGCAGAGAUUGAAAGAGAUGAGAGAAGAGAGACAGCUUCUCAGUCUUCUGCCUCAAACAAAAGAUUGUUAUUAUUAUGAAGAGCCUUCGGAAAAGCUAAUAAUAAGCACUAGCUUUUCAACUUCUGAUCAAUCAGCUUUGCGGGACCCACUUGCCCUCGGACUCAAUUCCCAUGCCCGUGACGACGUGGCACAUUUUCGAGCAAUUAAACCUGCUAGGCAGUUUACUUCUGCUACUGCAAGAGGGGCCCACAGCAGUUUCUUCGAAAAAACUGAUGUUGUCGAUACUUCUCUUCGUCUCUAGAUUGGAAACUCUCCCUUAUUAUUUGUUCUACCGUCUUAUGUUCUUCAUAUAUGUUUUCUCACAUGUAACGAAAAGUUGAUAGAAUAAGAGAAACUAUAUAUUGUGAUGAAUAACGUAUAUCUAAUCUUUCUGAUGUCUGUAUAAAAAAUAAUUUGCUUGUGCAUGCUGUUCGGGAUCAAGAUGAACAAAAGGCAAGAUGUUCGAAAUUCUAUUUUAGUCUAUAAUUAGGCGAUGACAAUGUACAAUAUUUGUUCAUAAGAAAUACACGAGUGUCAUAUGUGAAAAAUGCAACAUCGGGUUAAUUCUUCUUUCUCUUGAGUUGCAUCCAAUCACUAUUUCAACUUCGAUAUAAUUUCUCUCUUCAUGCAAAAUACCGCAAACUGAACGCCUUAGCCUCUUAUCAAACAACACUUUGCUCAAGCUUUCGACAUCACUACACGUCAUUCGAACUCUCCUUUGACCUGUGCUUUCGUUUCUUACUCCUGUGUCAACAAAACACGAUUUACAUGUGUGUGUGUGAGAGAGUAAUUUUUAAUUUUUUUAAAGAAAGUAAAAUGUUAAGUUUAUAGCGAGAGUACUUCUCGUGUGAACUUGGAUCCAAACAUGAUUUGAGCUUCCUAUCAAUGUGCUUUACGUCUUUUGACGUAGGAGUCUCGAGCUUGUUUAUCUGUAUAACAUUUCAAAAUAUUCCCACAUGUUAAGUGCAAUCAAACGACAUAAGCAUAGGUAUCUAAUCGAGAGAAAAACUACACCAGAAUAUCAAUUGCAUUAAGCGGAAGGUGGAGAUCUGAAAGUCCAUGAGCUGGAUGCUGCCGUGAGAGCAUGCUUUUAAUAUAUCUGCAUAAUGGUUAAUACAAAUUUAUUUCCAAAAAUAAAUGCAUUUACAUACUAAACACAAAUAUUUAUAUAUAUAUAUAUAUAUAUAUAUAUAUAUAUAUAUAUAUAUAUAUAUUCAAAAUUUGGUGGUUUUUGAACCUCUCGAAGUCGUUGACUUUAUGCACCUCACAAGACCUGCGUAAAGCUGCCAAUGCUAGCUGCACAAACAACACAAGUCAAAAUGACACUGGUCAAAGAUAUUUUUCAUCAUAAAGUUGAACUGUGCAAAUAAAUAAAUGAAACAAGUGUCCUCGGAAAUGAAUACGAUAUUAAGGAAACAGUACCUGACCUGGUGGGAAUAGAAGGGGAGCCUCCGUAAGCAUAAUUUUAUCAACCUCCAGUUUUGCAGAUUCGUGCAAAUUCUACAGCCAAAAUAAGAACAUUAAAGAUAAGCAACAAAAAACGAAGAUGUUUAAGAAACCCUAGUAGUUAAUCUCAUAGCUAACCGACUUUAAAUGAAAAUUAUUAAUGAAGUUUCUUGCAUGAAGUUCAAGUAAUAUCAGAAAUAAGGCGAUCAACAUAAUUCAAUUAGGGCUAACUUGUGUUAAUUCCUUUACACCUGAUAAUAUUGCAGGAUAUAUCCAAAGACCAGAAUAAUACUUUGCAGUAAUGCAGAAAGAGAAAAAGAAUGUUAAAACAACUCAAACAAGAAGAGAUAAGAAAGGACCUUUAUUAUCUCAGUCUGCCCUGCCAUUUUCGCGCCAUAGAUCUCCUGCAGAGUUGAAAAAACCUUCAUAAAACGCCAUUGCCAAUUGCCAUAUAAAACGAAGAUGCCCAGAAAAGGAAGUAAACAAUAUAGUGCUUUCUCUAUAUGAAGAAACGAUGGUGAAAAGGAAAGCUGGUUCUUAUUAGAUGUAUAGAGUUACACUAAACGAACCUCCAUAUCACCGAUAAAGCCUUGAAGAGCCCGAUAUGGUGCAUAAACAAUAAGGUCGAAUCCUAGACUCUGCAGUGACAGAAAACACUAUCAGAUUAUUAAACAUGUACAAAACAAAUAUGAAAAAGUAAAAAGAUAUGUGAUAUUCGUACCUGAAGAACCAGCAUUUCAUUAUUAAGGAUCACCUGAUGAUCCUGUUCAAUCCCUUUCCCAAGCUCCUCUGCCGAUACAUGGUUCUCCUCUGCCUUACAAGCAGCAUAUAUGCAGGUUAACCUGCAAGACGAAUGAUUUUUUCAGUAUUCUUUUUUUUUUUUAAUAAAUAGUAAAACAAUUGAUAACCCAUCCAUAAGAAAUACGGUAAUCAAGAAGCAGCCGUACAUGAUAAUCUUUGGAUGAUGUUCCAUCACAGACCAUUGCAAAUAGAACCUCUUAAAGUAAAUAAGAGCAGUCGCCUGCGGAAAAGAUACAAAUGUAAGUUUGAAUAGCAAUCAUCUAGAAUUUUUUUGAUUUAACACUGUUUCCAGGAAUAUUAAUUACCUGAAUUUUACGCGGAAAUUUGAAGGCAUCGCAAACAUCUUGGAUUUUAAACUCAUAGAAAGCUCGAAGAAUUUGCUCUUCUUCUGUCUUGAGUGCUUUAGGGCGUGAAUGCUUCUCCGCUGAAACACCAACAAGGUUUAUGGUAUUUGGAAACAAAUGCAGAUGGGAUUUUUUUGAAAGAUGAGGAGCGUACCGUUAUCUUUUACGUCAUUUUGUGGUUCGGCAUAAAUGAAUGAUCCGUCAAUAUCUACUUCCAUCCGAGUUGCUCCAUACUUUUACAACAUAUAUACAGUCUUAGCAUCAUUUGGAUUUCUUAAAAAAAGCAAACCAUGCUACAAUAAAAGUAAGUUCGCAAACAAUUUCAGAUGAACAACCACAACGCAAAUUACACGAAAAGGCACACUUUAAGCUUCCGUAGAUAUAAAGACGACAUAUAUAUUAUAAAUAUACAUUUAUUCGUCGAUUAUAAACCAAUGUUUAUAUAUAUAUAUAUAUAUAUAUAUAUAUAUAUAUAUAUAUAUAUAUAUACUACAAACCAAAGAAAUACAGAGACGUACCAUCUCAAGUGCUUGCUUCGCUCGUUUAUUAGCAUCCUUGUAUUUUUCCUUCUGAAAAAAUCACAAGAAUUGGAGGUUGAUACCAUUUCAUGCUAAAGAAAGUGAUACGAGUACAUGUGCACACACACACACACACACACACACACACACACACACACAACCGGAAUUAUGACACUCUCUGUUUAGUUACAAUUUCCUAACAAUUUUAUAUCAUACUACAUCCCGUUAACCACAACCAGAACCAUUACUUCGAUUAAAUAAAUUUAUUUCAGACUACAUUCCGCUAACAAAAAUUUGAUAAGAUGCCUACAGUUGAAUAAAACACCCAUUAACCACAACAAAGAGCAUUGACAAAACACCCACAGUUGAAUUUCAAUACGUUCUCCCGUGCAUGUACACUUUUUUAUUACAACAAUUGUUCCCAAUCCCAAUACCUAAAAGUAAAUUCCCCAAAAUAUGAUCCCAAUACACCUGGAAAUAACACAAAGAAAGCAAUAUUUUUUUUCUCCAUGAUCGACACAGUGAUAAAGAAGAAAAGAAAAAAAAAAUGAAAACUUUUGAGAGGAAUAGUCAUUACAAGAUCAUGAGGAGUGAAUAUCCACUUUGAUCUGUGAGUCGAGGUCGUAAAAUCCGCCAUUGAUCUCUGCCGCCUAACAAAUGUAAAUUAAAAGGUACAUCAAUUAAAAGAACGUAGUAAUGUUUUCCUCUCUGUCAAAUAUGGCUGCAUCACUAACACCAAUAAAUUUAAAAUCGACAGCUUCGCAAACUUGCAUUUAGCAAAUCGCAACCGUUAGAAACCCGUAUCGAUAUCAAAAGUACUCUUAAAUUUAUAACCCAUUCAAUGUUCAACUCCAAGUCUACAAUGGCACGAUCCUCCAUAUCCCAAUAGGUGUAAUAAAAGUACACAAUUUACGCAUACCGUGCUGCAUUACAGUUUUAACAAACAAAAGAGAAACAAAAAAUUCACAAACAUAGAAAAGGAUACUUCAAUUUCAUCUGAAGCAGUUAUUGCAUUCGUUUUCAUGAAAUUAUAAUCAACUCAGUAUUUGCGAUAAAAUAGAUAAAUACUUGUCCACAAAAAAGAACAAUCACCGUCAACAAUACUUCCGCCGCCUCCGUCGCCGGUGAAUGAAUUCGAGGAUUUGGGGGUUGGGACCGGCUUCAGCGAGUAAUUCUGUCGGACUUGUGAAGUUUUGAAUUGAAUUUUGAGAAAGCCCUAGCCCCUAAUUUAUAAUGGAUUUGGUAACCAAAAUAAUGUAAGAAGUAUCUAAUUAGAAACUAAAUUAAAUUAAUUGUUUGUCUUGAAUGAAUUGUUUUUAUCAUUUUUUUUAAAUAAUGUUACGAGUGAAUAAUUAUGGAGGGAUUUCCUAGAAAUAACUAAAGAUGUUUUUUCUCAUUAAAAAGAAGGGAUAAUUUGACAAAACUCACUCAUUACACAAGUGUCAUUAUAAUGAGCCCAAUUUUAUUUUACAUAUUUUAGAUAAAUCCAAAACAGUUUUUAUUAAUUAAAAAAAUUUAAUUAUCACCAUUAUACCCCUUAUUAAGAAAUAGUGUAUAUUUAAUUUUGGUAUUAAAAAAUUUACAAUAUAUUUUCCAUUAAAGGGGUCCUAAUAAUUAGGGAAUUAGUUACCCAUUUUAAUGAACAUAUUAUCUUCUAUUCUGCGUGUUCUCUCUCUCUCUCUCUCUCUCUCUCUCUCUCUCUCUCUCUAUAUAUAUAUAUAUAUAUAUAUAUAUAUAUUGAAUCCUGGGUGCAUAUAAAUAUAUAAUGUAUGAAUGUAUUUAGAUCUUCGGAUCUCGAACCAAAACCCCUUGUGGUCCAUCUCUCUCUCUAUCUAUAUAUAUAUAUAUAUAUAUAUAUAUAUAUAUACUAGUGAGGCCACACCGCGCCACGCGCGGUAUAUAAUGCCCUGUAUAGCUGAAUUAAUUCGAUUGUUAUACAAAAGAGAACAAUACUCUAGUAUGCACCAAAGAGACAUAAACAACAAAAUAAAAACACAUAAUUAAAUGAAAAUUAACAAGUGCUCCAUGGAACCAACUCUUAUAAACAAAAACAUAAUUAUCAAUAAACAAUCCAAACCUAUAAGCAUAGUAAUUACAAAGACACAUAGUACAGGAUGAACAUUCCAUGAUGGUGAAUUAACAAGUGUUAAAUUUGAUAUUUGGUUUCAUCUCAAAAAAAAAAAAAAAUUGAUAUUUGGACAUUUACAGAGUACAUUAUUUCAAUUAAAUAAAGUCUAGUUAACUGUGAAUCUCCCUUUUGGAAUUUCUUCAACCAGGAUUCACCAUGCCCAUUAAUGGUGCCAUCAUCCCCUGAAAAGAAAAUCAGGUAAAAAAUUAAUAAUUCAAAUACCACAAUUUUUUGACAAAGAUUAUUAUAUUAUAUAAAUACAUACAACCAUCUUUUUUAAGAAAAAAAAUUGACCUGUAAUAACUACAUCAAUUAGGUUGAUACCAAAGAUGAGGCUUAUAUAAAACAAAAAAACUAUAGUUAAAUUUCCAGAAGAAGAAAGGGACAUCUAACUGAAAAACAUAAAUAAUUUGUAUUUAGUACUCUGCAUUAUGUCGAAUUUGCUGAAAAACUCACUGUGUUAUAAAUAUUAACAAAAAAGCCAUAGGAUGCAUUUUUUAGCACACAACACCCUAAAUGGUGUGUUUUUAGGGGUAGUCAGCUAAAAAAUUGCACAAUAGGGGAGUUUUUGCUAAUAUUUAUAAUAUGAGGAGCUUUGUCACAAUUAAAGUAAAUACAGUAAAUGCAGGGGUCAGGGGUGCUAAAUGUAAUAAACCAAAAACAGAAAUAGUAAUAAAAGAAAACAUAAAAUUAAAACCUGAGAAGCGAGAAGAACAACAUCUUUAUGGAGAAAGAAUGUAAAAUGGCUGGUCAAAUUAAAGCUUCCAGUCAACCCCACUUCCCAGAAGGAACAAAGAGCAUCGAUCCACCGUCCGAUUCGAACUGGCUGAGAUGAUCGACAACCAUCUGAAAAGCUCUGGUAUUCGACGUCGUUCCAUCACCUACCCCGCCAAAAUUCGUCAGAGAUACCCCGUGGCAAAAAACAAAUGCACAUAAAUCUGUAUUCAGAGAAAAUAUAAAACGAAGGCACAUUACAUGACUCUAUAUAAUAAGUGUAAAGAAAGAAACAAAUACUGACUAAUACAAGUACAAUUGUCGAUUGCAAAAUGAAGUAUAAAAGAAUUAGAAACAUGUUAUUACAAGAUGAAUUAGAAAUUCAUAAUUUCACUUCCGAUGAAAAAAUACAACUAAUAGACGAAACUUCAUUAUAUGGACCUAAUUAAUACUUGAUGACUUGCAUUCAUAAGUUAUAGCAAAUGCUCACUAUUUGGGAAACAUUACUUCCAUUAGUUGUAGACAUAAAUGAAAUAUACGUAAACACAAACAAUUAGUAAUAAAACAAUUAUUAUAGCAGUUAUCUCAAUCAAUAAAAAAAAUGAAAAAAUAAAAAAUUAAAUUAAAAAAGCAUACAAAUGCUCUUGCUGUUUUUUGUCCUAUUCUUUUUUGGUCUCCAAUGUAAUAGAUGUUAACACAUAGGAAAGCAUUUCUGAAUUUUUGAACUUAGUUAAAGCAGAAGUUUGCUUUAUUAUAUGUCUGCUUCUUCUUGUAACUUACAUUUUUUUAGACAAAACAACCAAUAUCAUAAUAGAUAAUCACAUAGGAUUCUAACUUCUAACAAGUUCCACAAAUACGCCGUCAAAGACAUACACAUCCGCAACCAAACUACACACAGCUACAUAGAAACUCAGACUACAGAGGUGUCGUCAUUGCAUAUAAUAUAUUCGAAGACAUGCAUAUAAUAUUAAGUAUCAAGAAAGGGAGAGAAAUAUACCCAUAGGAUAUCAUCUUGCCCGAGUAAGCUUGAGUGGUUUCUAUUAGCAUUUCCAAGGAUAUCAGCUAAAAAAAUAUCAGAGAAGAGCAAUAAGCGAUUGAAAGCAAAACACAUAACCUCAAAUCAAAUGCAAAUGAAAGCAAGGACAUAGAUCAAUUACAAAACCAUUACACAAUACACUGAACAACUGCAAAUGAAAGCAAGGACAGCCAAUUUUUCCUAUAUAAUUGGGUUUUGACCAGAUAUGGAUAACAUGCCUAUCUGAUGAAUGUUGACUGAAACUUCUGCAAAACCAAAUUUGAAUACCCAUGGUGAAAAACAUAAAUUUAACAACCAUGUAACAACAAUUUUGAAUUUGAAGAAAUAAUUUAGUCGACGAUAUUGAAAAGGAUAUGCAGUUAAUUAAAAGACAAAAAACCAACUAUAUUAGAUAAUUAAAAUACUCGUAGAACACAGAAACAAAAAAACAUAAUAUAAUUCCAUAACAACAAAAACUGAGAUCCAAAGAUACCCUUUCAAUAAACAAGUGUGUGUUGCCUGGUUUGGACAGGAGGCAGACGGAGAGGAUUGUCGGAGGCGGAAUGAAGAACUAAUCAACCGAGCACCAAACCACAUCAGUAUACCUGCAGUCAAAGUGUUUACAUCCAUUAAUACAACAAUAAUGAUAAAUGGAAAGGAAAUAUAAACAUUCUUUAGUGAUUAAUGAAUUGACUGAUGCAGAGGAUACCACGUAUGUCACUGACUCAGUAAAUGGACGAGACAACGUCUUCCGCCCCGCCGAAAAGUCUGCAAUCGCUUAAGAUAAUAAGAUAAAUAGAUAAGUGGGCUUACUUAAAUGGAUCCCACAUAAACAAGUGAAAGAAAAAAGUUAGUAGCAAAAAUUAGGAAGAUCUGCACAAAUUUCGCACCAAAGUGUAGCUUAACAUGAUUAAUCAAGAAAGAGAGAAAAAAUUAUACCCAGACCCAUUCUGCAGGGAAUAAGGCAGUUGUCUUCUGUUAGCAUUUUCAAGAACAUCACCCAAGCACAUAAAGAAAAAGGGAAUGAGUCUAACAUAAUCAUAGCGUAAACUUUAUUUGGGGAUAAAUGAGAAAGAUAACAUACCAAAUGUAAUCGAGAGCAAACCUAAAGAGAAAAAAUAGAAACAAAUUAAUUUAAGAACAAUAUAAACAAGCGAGACUAAAAAUGCGAUAGAGUUACAAGCCCUUCUACAAUUAAAAAAAAAAACAGUUAAUAAAUACAAAUUUACCUAAAUGGAUUGAACAAAGAAAAUGGAGGAAACGAAGAACCUAAUGGCUGAGAACCUCGGCAGUUUUCGGCAUCGGCAUAAAAAGGUUAGAAAACCCCUAUUUUGUUGUUGUUGUACUCACGAAACAGAGAUGGGGAUUGAAAACCUCCAUCGGAUGUGCAAAAAAUACAUCGAAUGACUGAUGAUUUGCGGGCGGUUUGCUUUGAGAGUGCAAUUUUUAGGGUUUUCCUUUAGUUGGGUACUGAAAUGGCCUCCGGAGAAUGUAAAAUUGGAAAGAGAAAUGAGACGAUAAAGAUUGUGUAAACCCACGUCCCACAGGCUACACCGGAAGCUACAAACGUCAAGGUGGGAUUGACAAGCGAGAGAACGCAGAAGCAGACUGACAACCGCCGAAAGCAAGCGCGUGUAAAUGAACACAACUCGCGUGAGUUUGUUAAAGAAAAAUGGAAAAUACUGGAAAUAUUAAGAGAAGGGCCCACGGAUAUGGGCGGACCAUAAAUUUGAGCAGCAAAAGAAAUUGGAAAAGAAAAGGCGUCCACGCUUUAUUUGGAUUUUUUUCCGAUUAAACGACGUCGUUUUGUGUGCGUUUUGUGUUAAAAUAAUUAGAAAUGUAAUAUUAUUGCACUGUUCAUUUGAGGCCUACAUCUUUAUAGUUUUGUAAUAUAUAUAUAUAUAUAUAUAUAUAUAUAUAUAUAUAUAUAUAUAUAUAUAUAUAUAUAUAUAUCCGUAAACCACUAUNNNNNNNNNNNNNNNNNNNNNNNNNNNNNNNNNNNNNNNNNNNNNNNNNNNNNNNNNNNNNNNNNNNNNNNNNNNNNNNNNNNNNNNNNNNNNNNNNNNNUAAACUCGAAGAAAAUUCAAGUUUCUGAACUCUGCAGAACGGGAGAUUCAAACGGCUUGAAUCCUCCGUUCUGCAGAGCACGGAAACUUGAAUUUUCUUCGAGUUUCCGUGCUCCAAAAAACGGGAGCUUCAAAUUUUCGUGUUCCAGAAAAGGGGACCUUCAAACUGUAUUUUGAAUUUUUUUUUCGGAAAAAAAUAAUAAUAUUGGGGUUCCCGUGCCCUAGGAGACGAUUGUUCAUGGUUCCCGUCCUCCAGGGCACGGGAAACACAUGUUUCCGUCCUUCAGGGCAUGGGAACUUGGUGUUUCCGUUCUCCACAGCACGAUUGUUCAAUUUUUUUAUUUUUUAUUUUUUGAUUUUCCCGUGUUGUGCAGCACGGGAAACCCAAAAAAAUUGGGUUCUCGUGCUGCACAACACGAUAAUACCGCUAAAAAAUAGAAAUUUCACUAAUUUAUUCGAUUUUACCUCGUAGAAGUCAUCCGAAUCGGCCAUUAUGUUAUUUGUUGUCGUCGGGCAGUCGAUUUAUCAAACAAAUACGAAAUUCUUUUUUUUUCGACCUUUUUUAAUUGAGAGCGUUUUGAGUUUUUUAGAAAGUUGGAAAAAGUUGAAAUGAAAGUACCGCUGCAAAUAAGCCAAUUUCAGUAAAAGUCCCGCUACAAUUAGCAUUUCAGAAAGAAAAAAAAAAAUAAAGAUGUUUUAUAUUUUUGGGUAAAUUGCACUUUCCCCUUGUAAUUUGGAUGAAUAUCACUUUACCCCCUGUACUUUUAAUUGCAUCAAUUUAUCCCCUUGUACUUGAAAAAUUGUCUCAAUGAGGCCUUCGCCGUUAAUUUUUAUACCAUUGACCUUAACACCGCUUGAUCUAAGUCUGAAAAUUACAAAAAAACCACCCAUCUCAGUUUAAAUAAUUAUUAAAAAAAAUAAAAAAUUGUACUCGCGUCGUGGACUAUGUUUUCUCGUUGUCUUGAAUUUUUUAUUAUUUAAUUUUUUGUUUUUUUUUUUAAUUUUUUUUCAAAUUUUUGAAACUUAAAUUGUAAUAUUUACCCAUUUACUUUUCAAAAAUGAAAUUGGAAUUACUUUCAUAAAUCCGAAUCGGAUCUAAAAUUGAUUAUUUUAUAUGUAGUUUCGAUUUCUAUCCAAAUGUUAUUGAAAAACAAUCACAAUUUUGUAAGUUCGAAAGUCGAAUUCAUAAAUAAGAAAAACUAUAUAUAUUUAUAUUCGCAACUUUACAUCUGAACACAAUUCUACUUAAAUACUAAAAUUUAUACCGUAUUUUAUACCAUCGUCAUCGAUAAAUUCCUUAUAGUAUGUAUAUAUAGUCCGAUUACUCCAUUUUUUGUUAGUAAGUCGACUCAACUCAAUUACACGUCUAAUGCAUGCAUGCACACGUGACAUAGUAUAUAUAAAAAUAUAUAUAUAUAUAUAACAUUAUACAAAUUUAAUAUUUACUAAUUAUUAGUCCAAUUAUAUAACAUAAAAAUAAGAAGAUUUACAUAAAAAACUUUUAAAAAAA